UCGGUGACGGGGACGGGUCUCCCGCGCCUGAUGAGCUCCGCCCGCCAAUAAUAUUUGUUUGGGCCCAAACUAACUAUUCCCGGCCCAACUCACCCCCUCCCUAUAUAAACUAACCCUAACCGGCUGCAACCCCCUGCUCCUCUAUCUCUCAUUCCUGCCGCCGCCAACCCAAUCUCCUCCUCGUUGUCUCUGGUUCCGGCCGCCAAGCCUCCUCCUCCCUCGUUCCCUCUUCCCAAUCUCCUCCUCCUUCUCUCUGCUUACGGCCGCCAAGCCUCGCCGCCGGCCCGAGCCCGACCUGCAGCCGCACGCCUCGCCACCGUCGCCGGCCCGAGCCUGACCUGCCGCCGCCAAGCCCCGCCGCCGGCGGCCCGCGCCCGACGUGCCGCCAUCUCGCGAGCCCUGCGCCUGGAGGAGCCGCAGGGCGGCGCUUGGAGGCUGCCCGCGCCCCGAUCCGGCAUGCACCGACCCACCCGCCGCGGACCGGAUCCGUCCUCCCUCUCUCCCGCCGAUAAGUCUUCCUCUCUCUUCAUCUCUCCAUUCGCUCUCACGCUCUCUCUCUCUCUCUACUGCAGCCAUGGAGCUCGACCUCAGCCCUCCCUCGGCCGCCAUGGAUCCCCAGGACGACGACAACAUUGAAGGCGACCGGUGGCGGCUACAUCUCCAGGACAGCGGCAUGAGCGGCGGCUGUGGAUUUGACGGCAAAGGUUGUGCGGGUGGCGCGUUCAUGGAGUCGACGGCGACGUCAGGGAGUGGAUAACGCCGGUGCGGUGAGGUCGACGGGCUGAUGUGUGGAUUUGGGGCUGGCCGGGGGCCGGCCACUUUUUAUUUAUUUUCUUCAAAUUCACAUCAGUGUCGGACGUUGUGGUGUGACCGCCACCGCCACUGAUGGAGAAAGCAUCACUCCGCCCCACAAGAAGUUAGUAAGGGGCGUCCUGCCCGCCACUGAUAUUGUUUUUCGCCCGGUACCUGUAGUAGUGUCUCCGGCUCGCUCGUCGCUGCUCGCCCGCGCAUGGCUGCUCCACCCGCCGCUUGUGCCGUCGCUCGCCGUGCGGCUUCUCACCUGUGCCCUGUUCUGCGCGCCGCUGCUCUCUCGCCCACGUGCGGCUGCUCUGCCUGCCGCGCCGCGAGGCCGCGCCGCCGCUUCGGCGCCAUGGCCAGUGAGGACCCAUGGGCCUUUAGACUGGGAACAAAGACAGUGCAAGGAGAAAGAAGAGAUAGUUGCCAGCAUGGACGUCACGUUGGACUGAUCUGUGAACCCACCUCAUUAGAAACGGGCUUAUACGCUAGCAAGCGAGGGGUUAUACUAAUCCAGUGGGUUUUUGUAACUAAAACGAAAAUUGGUACCUUGUGAAACCCUAGCCCAUAAUGUGAUGGUUUCGUGUAAUUUACUCUUCCAUCUGUGUAAAGCUUAAUUCUAAAUUUGAGUUUUCUAUAAUUGUAUGGCCACUUUCCAGCUCUUGUCUCUUUAUCUAUGCCUCGUAAGUUCAAAUCUACACUAGGUGUGACCAACGCAUGCCUACUACUCCAGUAUAAAUGUACUCCAAAAUAAAAUGACUAGAACCCCUCUAGUUCAUCAGUACUGCACACUACUGAUAAUUAAAGAAAAACAGGCACAGGCAUUCUCGGACUGCAAGGUCGAUUUUGUUAAUGAAAUCAGAAGCUAUACAUAUUCAAAAAAACAAAGAAAAAAUAGAACCCAUAGCGGAUGAAAGGAGAUCCUUUCAAUAUUUGCUCAUGGGAAAAGAAAAGAGAAAUAGGGAAGAAAAGAGAAUCUAGUCGAUGAGAGAGCCAUACAUAUUGAAAAAAAACUUAGUUACUAUCUCUGAUCCUAAAUUGUCGUCGUGAAUUUAGUACAAAUUUGAACUUAGUUAUCCUAAAUUGUUGUCGUGGAUUUAGUACAAAUUUUUUGAGCUAUUUUUUAAUCAUCAUACAAUAUCGCAUUUAAUUCUAACAAAUCAUGUAUAGUCAGUUUAAAAAUACAAACCAUUGUUUUUAGAGAACCCAUAUUCACCAUCCAAAUUUUGUUCACAUGUUUAGAUGCCAAAUUUUUUUUCCAAAACUAUCACUUAAAUUUUGCACGGAGUAAAGUGUACCACUACGGUCGUCGCUCCCGAGUCCCGACCACCGCCACCAACGGGGCACCCGCUCCCGCCCGCUACUCCGGCGGGGUCUCUCGUGGCUGCAGCUACGGAUGUGGUCAUCUUGUCGGCGGCGGCGUCGCCGGGCUGGUGAGCAACGAAUAGGUACGCAUUGUGUGCGGGCGCGCGUGUGCACUUAACUCUCGACCCAUCGUCACUGACAAACUCUACCCACCCAGCUAUCUAAGCAUGGCCCACCUCGGCUCUUAUUAUGCUGGACAAGGCCGGGUCGGGGAGCGGGGCCUGGCUGGAUGUACUGAUAUAUCCUCCGAAAAUAGUUUUUGCGACAAUAUACAAAUAAUCUGAAUGGCUGGAUUUACAAUGUGUUAAGAUCGCUCAAAAAAAAAAACAAUGUGUUAAGAAAAAAAACAUUCCUGAUAGCUAGCCAUUGUUAUUGCUUUUGCAAAUAGCUAUCCACAAAUAGAAUCACUGGUCAGUGGAAUAUUCGUCCGCUCACGAUACAAAAUGAUGUUCGAUCAGCAAAAUGCAUUAAGUAAAAGGAAUAUUCGUUUUUGGCAACAAAGAGAGUAAAAGGAAUGAUCGUUUGAGUGUAAGCACAACAAGGCUUUUUACAUAACCACAGACUGUCAUGUUCAAACUCUGAGGUGCACAACAGCCCAACAAAAAUGUACAUCGAAAUAGGAACUGUAACUGGAAAGUUCAAUGGUUCCCAGCAAAUCAGUUCCAAGUACUCCGUAUCAAUUUUCAACCAAACAACAGAACUUGAAUCACUGGCCAAGUCGGCUUUGCGAUAUUCAGUCCAUUUCGUAGCAGAUAUAGCAACAAAUUCCUGUGUUCAAAAUGGGAUCCUUGAGCAUUUAGCUGUCACCGUCGGUUGAUUCUAACAUAAAAAGUUUCAACAGCCAAUGCACCGCAGAAUGACGACUGAUCUGAGAACACUUGUUCAGACCCAUGGCUGAGCUCAAUACUGCGUAACAGAACCAACCAAAUUUACCAGACACAAAAUUGCAAAGAGCUUUUCCCACAGAGUAUGCAGCUAAUCAAUAAUCAUGGCGCUACUGUAGCAGAGUUUCAGCAUCUUAAAAUAAACGCCCUUCCUGAUUCCUGAACCCUGCAGAAGUACAAGGUUGACUGAUCAAGUGACAUAACGAAUUAGCAUGCGGUAUUCAAAAUUGUAUAGUGAGCAAAUGAAAAGGUGAAAAUUGACUAGUGCUGACAUGAUUCCACUAAACUUAACAGUAGCAGAAUGUAACAAUUAAGUGGCAGCAAAAAAAAUGUGGAGACUGAACUGAUGGCAGGACAAAUUACUGAUGAGACACUCGUAGUACCAACAUAGAAUUGGCAAUCUCGUGAUAGCUAAGUAAACCAUAAAAUUUGCUGAAAGGAACGGCAUUCCUCACAUCGUCCGGUAAAUGGGAAAACAGAUACAGAUAAUGCAAAAGCAGCAGCAUACAGAUGAUACACAAGUAAAUGAACUCAAUCAACUAAAAGUUUCACUGAUAUUACUAUAAAAAAUUCCACUGAAAUGUGUGCAUUGAAAAGAUCGUCACGAUAAAGCUUCACUGAGAAGACAAAAGAGGGGAAAUAAAGUGGGGGGGGGGGGGGGUAUGAUCUCCUACGAACAAAUUGAUUGCAUUUACUGAAUCUGUCUAAUUAUAUACAUCAAUGCUUGAUCAGGUGUCAUUAGUAGUAAUUAAAAAAUACUCGAUAUGCAUUUAGUCAAACUCCUAUGCUAGCCGUCCAUAUAUAAUUACUGCAGGUUCAUCAAUCUGCAUUCCUCCAUGCAGAAAUAAUCAGUAGCCCAAGAAACGGAAAGAAAUGUACAGGAUUUCUAGCGAAAGUAGCAUGCAGCAUACUACGUAACCAGUAGAGCUGCAAAACAUUCAAGUAAAGAUGGGGGGCAGACACAUUUUUUAUUCCUCCAGGACAAUUGAACAAGUUCAAAUCAGUUCAUGUGCUGGCCAACGAAAUAGAUUACGAGAUGCAUGGGUACAUAAAGUACUUGGUAAUCUAGAUUUGUUUGCAUGAUCUUCAUACUCCAAUCUCAAGAGUCUUGAAGUUCCCCAAAAUAAUACUAUCUCUAAAAUGUAAGAACAAAAAAUUGCAUGAGCAGAAAUCUUGGCCUAAGAGAGGAAACAGUACCAAAAUGCAGUAUUAUCAACUCAGUAGUCAAAAUAAACUUCCUCUGCUGCCAGUUUAUGCUCCCCAUCCUUCACGAUCUCUUCUUCAUCCCACCUACUCACUUCAAGACUGAGCUCCUCCGAAAGGAAACCAGCUGCAUUCUUGACAGCAUCCUCCAAGGCCUCGACCUCCUGAAUGUUCGCACCAUAACAAACAAUCUCGACAUGGAGAUGCUUUAGCGAAUAGAGAUUCUGGAUGCCAAAAUCAAGAUCACCCUGCAAAGAGAGCACAUCGUGCGCAUUAAAUGGAACCCGGAGCUUCCCAAGCUCUGGCAUGGAUCCUGCUUCAAACGUCAGCCCUUUUCCGCUGUCCCAGCAGGUGAAGUAGAAUUCCUUCAGAUAUUGGAAUCCAUUGGUGCUGAUAACGAGUCUUUCUUUAGGUCGUGCAGUUCUUGAAGAUAUCCAGAGAAAUAAUAGAGAGGGCAGGUCCCCAAGGAUUCGGAAUGUUUGCUCAUCCACUGGAUCGGGAUAGAUGCUUAGGUAAGAGAGGUGGUGAAGUGAGGCUACCCACUUAGGGAUUCUGGGGAAAUAGUACUGUGUAGACAUCUUAAAUCUCUGGAGGAGACAAGGAGGGGGAAACCAAGAGUCAAGUAAGAAAUCAAGGGAAUAGUAGUGGUAGCUUUGAAUUUCUAAGGAUCGAAGGUUAAGCAGGCCUAGUUUGCAGAGGGACAUGACCAAGUUAUCUGUAUAAGCUUGCAUGCCACCAUUUGUAUUACCUAUGUGCCAAUUCAGAUUCAGACCAAGUAUUCUUAGUUUGGUCAGACUGCCCAGCUCCUGUAAAGAAAACUGAGAGGUGUUCUGGUUGAUUUCAACCUCUGAUAGUUCCCGAAGAGCAUGCAUAUUCCCAAUCCCUUCAGGUAACUCUGUACUAUUAACCAAUAGGCAUGCCAGUUGUUGUAGUUGAACAAUACUUGCUGGCAACUUUUUUACCCAUGUCCAUCUUAAGUCUAAGGUCUGCAAAUUCUGCAACGCACCUAGUUGUUCAGGAAGUGCAGUGAUCCUUCUUACAUCGAGUCGCAGGUACUUCAGCUGAGAAAGCCUACUUAUGUGUUUAAGAUAAUUAUGUUCUAACACCUCUCUGUUUUCAAGAUCUAGCACUCUUAGGGAUUGUGAGUUUGAAAGAGAAGGCAUAUGUUCAACACAUCCAAAGAUACUGAGGGAUCGAACAUGAGAGAUAAUCAUGUUUGAUGGUAUCAUAGAAUGUUCUCGAGCAUGAUAGUUGAGGGAUAGUCGGCGAACCUUCUCAUGCUGCAGUGAGUUGAGAUUUUUGUCACCUGAUAAGGUUACAAAAUUUUCUUCAAGUGACUUGGAUAUAAUGAGGUCAAGAAUCAUAUCAUGGACGCGGCAAGCAUCAGCUCGACCAUCAUACUGGAUUUCAACUGGUUGAAUCAAGUUUCUGUUGAUCAGAUCAUUGAAAUAGCCUUCUCCUAUUUCCUCCGGAUCCUGUCCACCUUCGGUGGUGAUGAAACCUUCAGCAAUCCAUCUCCUUACUAACCGAUCCCUCUUGAUCUCAUAAUCUUCAGGAAAUAUACUUAGAUAUAGCAAACAUGUCUUCAAAUGGUAGGGGAGAUCAUUGUAACUAAGUAACAAUAUUUUUUUCAUCUCUUCCAUGUCUGAAUCCUUUUCAAGUGCAGAACCAAUAGAAUUCCGUAUCCUCAGCCAUUCUUCUAUGGUACUAGCUUUAUUUGCCAAUAAGCUAGCUACUAUAAUGAUUGCCAAUGGCAAACCACCGCAUUUUUUCAAUAUUUCAUCUGAAACUUCCCUCAGUUGAAGUGGGCAUGCAUCUUCAGAGCCAAAAGCUCUUUUGAGAAAUAAGCUCUUAGAGUGAGUUGCACUCAGAGGAUUUAUUUCAUACACAUGAUCAUGGUGCUGAGAGCUACAAUACUUGGCUGCUGUCAUGAUACGUGUUGUUGUCAGUAUUCUACUGGAACAACUAUUUUCAGGAAAAGCGCAUUUGAUUAUUCUCCACGCUGAUGUGCUCCAUAUAUCAUCGAUUACUAUAAGGUACCUAUCACAAAAUUUACAAGUUAAAACAUGUAUUCCUAAAGUUGCCGUCAGUGAAUAACAGUAGUAAGCAUGAUGUACAUAUAUUAUUCAACAGAUAAAACUAUUUUAAUAUUAACACAAGGUUAAGAAAAAUGUAUAAACUAUUGAUGACAUUGCAUGCAUAUGAAUUCCAAACAAGAUUGUCAUGAGUAAAUAAGGUUACAAACCUUUUAUCCUUGAGAAAUUGUCUUAUUACGCUGAUGAGUUGCUGCUCAUCCCAUGCUUCGUUGAUGACACGCUCUCGCCAGCAGAUCUGGGAGAAUAUAUUUCUCAAAAUCUUCUUCAGGUCAGGGUUUUGGGAUACCGAAACGAAAGCUUGACAUUCAAAUUGCCCUUCGAGCUGCUGGUACACUUGAUUAGCGAGAGUAGUCUUUCCGAGGCCUCCAAAUCCAACAACGGACACCACCUUUAGCUGCUGUGCCAGUGGAGAUUCCCCUUCUGCCAGUACUAACUUGACAAGCUUAUCUCUUGGGCCAUCAAUACCCACGAGCCUUGUGGUCUCAGUGUAAAAUGCUGGCAAACGAGGGUCUAUGCUGGUCCUGCUCAAACUGGAGACCACAUCAUCAACCUUGUACCUUGCACGCCGACUGCUAGCCUCAAUAGCACGACGUUUCAGAACUUUGAUUUUCUUGGCAAACCUAUGGUGAGUCGUGGCAUUUGCCAACAAGUCCAUGCACCUGCCUAUGAACCUCAUGAAGCCACGAGGAUUGCGGCUGGACUCGCCACCAAGGGAGAGCAUGAAACUGUCAAUGACGUCCUCGAUGUCAUAUGACAGCUCCCGCACCUCCUUAAUCGAGCACUUGUACUGCUCAUCAGGGUCCUCAACCUCAGAAAUCUUCUUGAGGAAAGCAUGCAUGCUCUCAAGCUCGGCUCUAAGGAACACGAUAUCACCCUUUACACUAGUGAGAAGUUUGUAUUCAUCAGAGAGCAGAGCACCCAUCUUCCGUAACAGGGACCCCAAGGCUCCACAUGAUACACAUACAACAGCCUCCAUCAACCUCUGAGUGGGGGUUUGCGUGUUUUUGUCCCUGCUACCUUUAUAAACACAUAAAGGAAUUCAUAGUACACUUGAACAAGAAUUGAAGAUGAUUUCUCAAAGCGAAGGCGACAUAGUGAGCGAGCAGGUGAGACAUUCGCAGAAUCUUACCAUAUAAAAGUGCAGAGAUCAUAUGAACCACAUUUCAAAAUCAGCCAAUUUGUCGAGAAGACACUGUGAACCACUUGGACCAUGAGUGCGAGGUCAGUCAAUUAGUCAAAAGAAGGAGUCACAUUCCACCUAAUGAGAAGACUACCAAGAUACCGAUGUUCCAUUCAUCUAGGAGUAUAUGAAGUCAGAAGACCAUACAUCCACCUGAAAUAGUAAUGAGAACGGGAGAAAGGUAGGUGCAGAUGAAGCUAAAUAAAUGGAACAGGCUUGCCAGAGCAAACUAGUAAUGAAUUCCACGAGGGAAUCUAUGAUUAGUUAAGUUGGCAAUGCAAAAUUAGUCAAUUAAGGCGCUUGUACAGACAUGAACUUUGCUGAAACGAUUAUUCUGACAUGAGAAUAGUUGCUUUCUUAACUAGUAGCCGUCCACAUUGAUUGCUUUCGCCACCAAAUAUAUCAAACUGGAAAAGGGGCAGGGUUAGGAACUUAGGAAGUUUUCUUAAGCAGACAAGAGGUACUGGCAGAUUCUUGUCUAGAAACCCAAGGCCAGUGGUUAGGUGGUCAGCCUCAGGAUUAAGGAACAUGGCAUCGCCCUUCACUAAGUAGAUCUUCUGAUGGGUAAGCAGAUUUUAUCAAGGUCAGUCAAGUGUGGACAAGAAAGAAAGAAAUAGCUUAUAUUUCAGCACCGGGCUGGUAGGACAAGAAACUAGAGGUGACAACACCAUUCAAGCAAGCAAGUCCCCCAAUCAGUCAAAUUAUUCCAAAGAAUUAGCCAUUGCUGAAAUGAAAAGGCAGACUGAGCUAAAGAAGAGAGAUCCAUUGAAUGAGCAGGUGCGGUGUUGCCCGGGGUGAAAUUUCUAGGCAUGUAAAAGAAGCACACAAACUGCCCACGGAAAAACGGAAUCUCAGCCAAAUUUGUCAACAAGAGAGAGGGCAUCUCAAUCAGGAAAGAAAUGUGCAGAUUCAGUGGCUCGUAUUUUGGCUGCCUAGUUGAGCCUCCACCAGAGGAAAUACCUCCAAACAUCAGAGGCAGAGAGUGUCAUCAUUCACCAAUCACCUUCCUUGGCCAGUGAAUGUUACCCAAAGAAAAUCACCACCGGCGAAAUGAAGCUAGAGGUGACUGCGACUUCUUAUCAAGCCGCCCAAAUCAAAGCACGAUCCGUCGAUUGAGCUGCCUUAGAUCUUCUGGGAUCCCAGAUCUUCUCAUGGAUACCAGAAAUCUCCGAGACAAUAAUUUUAGAUCCUCGUAGAAAAACAGGCAACAAGUUGGCGUGGUUGCCAGCUCGCCGCUCGCCGGAGUAAGGUCCGUCAGACGGUACACGUACAGCCGGUGAUGGCGGGAUAGGAGAGGAAAAAGGAGUAACGGCCCGGGCACGAGGCCGCGGAGAGGGAGCAGGUCCGCAUCGCCGUCAUCGGAGAAGUUCGCCGGAGACUCUCCAGAAAGAAGGAGACAGAGGAGAGGAGGUUUGGGCUAACAGGCUAACUCUACUGCUGGGCUCAGUGAAAGUGUGGCUGAACCCUAUUCCCUUGGGUUGUCCCGCUUCUGGGCCACAUUUAGAAUCCACACAGAAACCAACGUGUCUGGUGGGCCGACUUGUCUGAAAUUGCUCUACAUUAGUGGUGCCCUCUCGAUUCUCUCUCUCAAAAUCCUCUAAAAAAAAGAUUCUCUCUCAAAAAAAAAUAGUGGUGCCCUCUCUCGAUCCGUAACUCCCGUGAGGAACCCUAACCGUAGAAAGCAGUCCAUUCGAAGUUGUGAUUUUUCGUUUGUUCACCUCGCCUCUCAUCGUUAAUUUGGCCUCCGAACAUGAACGUUUGGUAAAGUAGUUUCUGUAUUAUUUUUUUGUGAGGUUUUGUGCUUUGUAACCGCGCCCUGGCGGCGCCGUAUGAAAUAAUGGUCUCUGAUUCCACCACCGUCAUGGCAUAGUCAACACGAUCUACUUCACGGAACUAAUGGAUCUCACGGUUUGUAUUUUCGUUAUAUUCGUCUUCUUCCUCGUCGGUUCAACGACGAUUCAGCGAUUCGACACUUUGCCUUGCGAGGGGUAUGCCCCCAUCCACAAUACGUUCAAUUAUCUUAGGUUCUCAUCGCUUGGAACGGCGACUCAUGCGAUAGUCCAGCUUGUGCAGAUUUGGUAUUCUACCGUUUCAUCACCAAAGGCAUGAAAAGAUAUUGUUAUAAUAUAAUAAAAUCCUUACUUGGCCGGGCCAUAAUCCUACGUGGCGACGACCGAGUCAACAAAUCCCAAAAACCGGUCAAAUUGCCAACAAGGCGUAGCCAUGCCAACAAGGCGCCGAUCAAAGGAGUCAACGGGUCAAACCUCUUAUGCCAUGGUCAAAGGAAAAGAAGAGCUUGAGUAGGGGCCAAGAAAGGUGUAGGGAUGAGUUUACCACUUUGCUCUCACUUUCCCCCUCCCUCAAGAGUAGCCAUGGUCUUUUGUCAUGGACACCUAUGCUAUAAAUACCCUCAUGGAAGACAUGUAUCAUUUACUUUCCAUUGGAAUAAGAUCAAAGGGGAGAGGGCUAGAGCAACCUAAGGAGCCCGCUCUCGAGUGCUUGGGUCGAGCCUAGCCUCGACUCGACCUCGGGGACGCGACUUAGGAAGCCUAAUUUCGAGAUUCCGGGUCGUCUAGUACGACCUCGACUCGAAGGAGAGGGAUCGGGUUAGAGUCUCGAGGAUAUCCCAACCUCGCUACUUGGGAAGACAAGUUCGGUCCAAGUCCGAGGCGGCCCCUAGAGAUCUCUCUCCAUAGGUGAUUUGGGAAGACGAGUUCGGCCCAAACACCCGGCUAACGACCCCCUCAAAGUCUCUCCUAACAUAGGACUAAGUCGUACCCGUAGGGUCGACCGAACCUAUUUAAAAAAUAUCGACGUAUCAACUUGUCCAAGUGUACGGCGACCUUCGCUAUAAGGCCGGCGUACACGCCCUACAUAUUAUUCUCGCACUUGUACCAUCGAGCAUUGGCACCCCUUACUCUUAUUGUUUUCUAGAACAACAACAGAUAUGCAUCGACUUUUUACUUCGAAAGAUCUUGAUGUAAAUUUUAGUUUACCAAGGAUCUUGGUUCUCAGUUUUUGUUUUUGUUUGUUUCAUCAUUAUUAUGUUUCUUGAAUCAAUAAAGCCAGAUGUUUUUACAAAGGGAUAAACCAAAUUUGACAAGAAAAAUAUAAAACAAACUUGACUAGUUGGAAAAUUAACUAUAGAUCUCUCCUUUCAUUUACGUAAGGCCUAAUUCUAAAUCCGAGUUUCUAUAAUGUAUGGUCACUUUCUGGCUCUUGUCUCUUAUAAACUAUGCAUUAUGUAAUUGUUAAGACUCUCGGUUUAAAAUCUAUAUUAAGUGUGACCAAUACAUGUUUACUAUUCUAAAAUGUGUAUAAAAAAAUGAAUUACAAGUCCAAUAAAUACGCUACAGAAAACCAACCAUGCAGGUUCAAACAGUUUUAUAAGAAAAUCCGGCAGACUUGACCUCAUGGUUCAAUUUUGUUAAUGAAAUCAGGAGCUUGGUUAAAGAAAAACCAGCAGACUUGACCUCAUGGUUCAAUUUUGUUAAUGAAAUCAGAAGCUUAUGCUACUUCUUUCAAAAAAUAAAUGAAGGAAAACUAGAACACGACCAGACGAAAGAAGAAGACUUUUUAGUACAACUUUUGUUAAUGACGGGAGACCCCCCCCCCCCCCCCCCCCCGUUUGGAUGCCCUUGCUUUUGAUGUUUAACCUAUAUCAAAUACUACUGCCUCCCGUCAUCUCCAAAAAGUUAGAUUAGUAAAACCUAAGAGUUUUGGCAACCCUCGUUUUAAUUCAUUUGGUUAAAUGCAAAACAAAUCCAGAUGAAUUAUAUUGUUCCAAAAUACAAGAUGUGUUUUGUUGUCUUCACCGAGUAUUUGACCAACAAUUAGUUGGGAAAUAAAGUUGCUGCCAUUGCUUUCGUAUUCAACAAUAGUUUUUUAUGGUUAUAAUUUGUAUCACAUAAGCGACGUGUUGAUCGAGUAAUUAUGAUCAAAUCGUGGGCCAAAAGAAAUAAAAUGCGAUCCUAUAUCUGUAGAACGAACUACAGUAUAUUCCACAAAUUUUUGGACUGAAUCUAUGUACGGAGUACUUAAUUCUAUAGUAUUGGUCAAAUUAUACAGCGCAGAUCUGCUGACUUCAUACCGUGAUUUUGGUACCAAGCUCAAGCUAAUUAAUUCGCCGAAAGCGACGGCAUUGGCAAAGCAAAGUCAAAGCUAAGCUGUUGGAGGCUUGGAGCCUCGGAUCAGUCGGCAACUGAAUCUUCUCACACCGCCGUGGUCCGUCGCUCCUCUCCACGGCCGCCACCACCAACACGCGCGGGGGCCGCCCACAGCUGAAGCGGGCGGCACCCGCUCGAUCCCGCCCUCCGCUCCGGCGGGAUCUCUCGUGGCUGCCGCUGCGCGCGGAUGUGCUCAUCUCGCCGAACAGGUACGCAUUGUGCGUUGUGUGUGUUGUGUGAGGGGGGAGAGAGACAGCUUGCUCUGCGCGUGCGCUGAAAUUUGCUUGUCUUUUGGGAGGAUUCCUGAAUGGCCGGCUUUGGUCUGCAUCUCCAGCAAAAAUUUAAAUUUUGGUUCAAAGUAGCAUGAUGAAAUAGUUCGAGAACCACUGGUGCACUUAACUCUCGACCAAAUCGUCCCUGAAAAACCACCACACCAUUCUCUCCUCCUCCCCCUCGCCGCCGCUGGUGGUCGCCGGCGGCGGCCUCCGCCCGGGAUAUGAAGGUUACCCCGGCAGAUCCGGCGGCACCGGGCGGGCAGCUUCGGUGGCAGGCAGCGGAUAUGAUGCAUUUCGUCUUCACUGGUGACACAUAGGUGUCGUGUUGUAUUCUCGUCGGCGGCGCAUUAUCCUUUGACUAUGCCAGCUACAUAGGUGUCGUGGUGCGGCCUCGGCUGCAUGCUGCCCUUUGACUACGUGGAUGGCACAGUGUCAUAGGUGGGCUCGACAGAUCAACGGCUUUCUAUGCAUCGUCGGUGCUCCUUGUUGUGCACUGCUAUUGCUGUUGGCAUGUUUCAAGAGACUAGGUUUUUCUUUGUUGUGUUUCUUUCGGCAAGCGUUGUCCUUGUACUCGUUAUCCCGUUUCUUUUAUUUAAUUGGAAUGGUUCAGGCUGACUAAUGCCCGUUAUAGUGCACCUAAAAACACUUGACUCUUGUCAUAACUAAAAACAUCGACCUCGUUAUAUAACUAAAACGUCCAUUCGUUCUAGUCCUACAUGUUUAUGAACCAAAACUCCAUGUCUAUUAAGUUUGCGCCACUCGGAGGGCAAUCCAUUUUGUUUUUACAAGAAUGCAGGUUACAUGUGCAUCUUGAAUUGAUUGUGACAUAUUGUGUAGAGGGCAUUGUUUUUCAUCCUUUCGCUAGUUUAUGAAAUUGGGUUAUAUGCUUUUGUAAUCAUUUGUGUGCAUUUGUGUCGGUACAUGAAUGACAUUUACGGGUUAUGGUUGUAAUUAUGGUUGUUUAUCAGCAUGGUCUGACCUCUCUUGGUGAUGAAUACCUAUAUCACCAAAUGUUUUACGUUGUCGUGCUGAAGCUUGGGGUUAGAUUUGCUACAAACUUGGGCAUUUUGCCAGCUAAACCAAUCAAUCUUCCAACAGAUGGUGAGCGUCUUGGCAGGGGUGAUGACCUCCGUCAUCAGCAAGCUUACUACCCUGCUCGGGAUGGAGUACAUGAAACUGAAAGGUGUGCAUAGGGAAGUGGAGUUCAUGAAAGAUGAGCUGAGCAGCAUGAACGCGCUCCUUCAGAGGCUUGCAGAGGUGGACCGCGAUCUUGAUGUGCAGACGAAGGAGUGGAGGAAUCAAGUGCGGGAGAUGUCUUACGACAUCGAGGAUUGCAUCGAUGACUUCAUGAAGAGCCUCAGCAAAACUGAUGCAGCUGAGGCUGCAGGGCUUUUCCAAAGUGUGGUCCAGCAGCUUAGGACAUUAAGGGCGCGCCAUCAAAUCACAAACCAAAUCCAGGGGCUCAAGGCACGCGUUGAAGAUGCUAGCAAGCGACGUAUGAGAUAUAGGCUUGACGAGCGCAUCUUUGAGCCUAGCGUCUCCAGGGCCAUCGACUAUCGUUUACCUUCGCUCUAUGCUGAGCCAGAUGGUCUUGUCGGCAUUAACAAGCCAAGAGAUGAGCUCAUCAAAUGCCUAAUAGAGGGGGUGGGUGCAUCGGCGCAGCAGCUAAAGGUAAUAUCCAUUGUGGGUCCUGGAGGUCUUGGUAAAACUACACUUGCGAAUGAGGUGUACCGUAAAGUGGAAGGCCAGUUCCAGUGUCGAGCUUUUGUUUCUUUGUCACAGCAGCCUGAUGUCAAGAAGAUCUUAAGAACUAUGCUCUGUCAACUCAGCAACCAAGAGUAUGCUAACACAGAUAUAUGGGACGAGGAAAAGCUCAUCAAUGCAAUCCGAGAAUUUCUAAAGAACAAAAGGUACACUCAUGAAUUUUGGAUGCUUACUUGUCUGUUAGUAUUUGGUAGCGCAUCAUACUCUGAUCCAUAUGCAUGUUUAUUUAGUAGCUUAAACAUUGGUGUGAUAUACCGGAUCUACAUAUAGAUAAGCCACUCCUAUUAUUCUACCAUUAUUUAAUUAAAUCAAUGAUAGAAGUAGAAAACUUGUUUUCUGAUUCUAGAGAAAUACAGAGAUUCUGAACAUGCAUGUCUAGUUCAUGUGAUGUAUAUGCUCAUUAUGGUUUGGUUUUCAGAGGAAUUUCAAACUUCACAUUACACUUGGUUCUGCGGUCAAACUUUAGGGGAUAAUGAUCAUUAUACAAAAGAGAACUGAUCUAGUACCCUAUUAACAGAGAAUUGCACGAGUCCUGAUUCCUAUGUACCCCAUUAGUAGAGAAUUGUACAAAUCCUGAUCCAGUACCUCAUGGACAGAGAAUUCACGAAUCCAGCCUGAUUCCUACAAGGUUUAACAUUUGGCACUAAGGAGGUGUGCUUUUUAUAUUCUGUUAACAUUUCCUAAUGUAUAAUAGCUUUAAAGGAAUAUGCAUUUGUAUUUUCGUAUUGUAGGUACUUUGUCAUCAUUGAUGAUAUUUGGAGUGCUCAAGCAUGGAAGAUUAUUAAAUGUGCUUUCUUUCUGAAUAAUUUUGGAAGCAAAAUCAUGACGACAACUCGCAGUACUACUAUAGCCAAGUCAUGUUGCUCUCCUCACCAUGAUAAUGUCUAUGAAAUAACGCCUCUUAGUGCCGAUAACUCUAAGAGUUUAUUUUUGAAGCGUAUAUUUGGUUCAGAAGAUAUAUGUCCUCCUCAGCUGGAAGAAACCUCUUCCGAAAUAUUGAAAAAAUGUGGCGGUUCACCAUUGGCGAUUAUUACAAUAGCUAGCUUAUUGACUAAUAAAGCUAGUACAAAUGAAGAAUGGGAGAAGGUAUAUAAAUCAAUCGGUUCGACACUGCAAAAAGAUCCCAGUAUAGAAGAGAUGAGAGGGAUAUUAUCCCUCAGCUAUGAUGAUCUUCCCCACCAUUUAAAGACAUGCUUACUAUAUCUAAGUAUAUUUCCAGAAGAUUACGAGAUUCAGAGGGAUCAAUUGAUAAGGAGGUGGAUUGCUGAAGGAUUUAUUAAUGCGGAUGGUGGACAAAAUUUGGAGGAAAUAGGAGAUUGUUAUUUUAAUGAUCUUAUCAACAGAAGUAUGAUUCAGCCGGUGAAAAUUCAAUAUGAUGGUCGAGUUCAUUCAUGCCGGGUCCAUGAUAUGAUUCUUGAUCUCCUUACAUCCAAGUCUAUUGAAGAAAAUUUUGCCACCUUCUUUGCUGACCAAAAUCAGAAACUCGUGCUACAACAUAAGAUCCGUAGACUAUCUAUCAACUGUUAUUCCCAAGAACACAUCAUGGUUCUGUCAACAGCGAUCAUUUCCCAUUGUCGAUCACUCAGUAUAUUUGGGUAUGCUGAACAGCUACCUUCUCUUUCAAGGUUUAAAGUUCUGCGAGUACUUGAUAUAGAAAAUAGUGAGGAAAUGGAAAGCAGUUAUAUUGAGCAUAUAAGGAAGCUUCGUCAGUUGAAAUAUUUGCGACUCGAUGUGAGAAGCAUUUCUGCAUUCCCUGAACAAUUAGGAGAACUGCAGCAUUUGCAGACUCUGGAUAUUAGAUGGACAAAGAUAAGAAAAUUGCCCAAAAGCGUUGCUCAACUGCAAAAUUUAACAUGUUUGCGUGUCAACGAUCUGGAAUUACCUGAAGGAAUUGGGAAUCUGCAUGCUCUACAGGAGCUAAGAGAGAUCAAAGUGAAGUGGGACAGUUUGGCAUCUUCUUUACUGGAGCUGGGAAGUCUGACUAAACUGAGGAUUCUUGGGCUGCGCUGGUGCAUCGACAAUACACACAGUAACAAAGAAACUUUUGUGGAGAACUUGGUCUUGUCACUCCGCAAACUGGGGAGACUCAACCUUCGGUCUCUAUGCAUUCAGAGUAACUAUGGCUAUUCCAUUCCUCUAAAAGAAAUGUACGGUUAUUCCAUAGAUUUCUUGCUGGAUUCUUGGUCUCCCUCCCCUCAUCUCCUCCAGGAGUUUCGGAUGGGCAUGUACUAUUACUUUCCCAGAGUUCCAGUUUGGAUUGCAUCACUUGACAACCUCACUUACCUAGAUAUCAAUAUUAACCCAGUAGAAGAGGAAGCAUUACAGAUCCUUGGAAAAUUACCUGCUUUGAUUUUUCUCUGGGUGUCAUCAGAAUCAGCUUCUCCCAGCGACAUGUUCAUAUGCCUGAAGGAGUUCCACUUCACCUGCUGGAGCAAUGGGGAAGGCAUAAUGUUUGAAUCUGGGGCCAUGCCAAGGCUUGAAAAGCUGGAGGUUCCGUUAGACGCAGGCAGGAAUCUUGAUUUUGGCAUUCAGCACCUCUCUUCCCUUACACAUGUUACUGUAAGGAUCAUUUGCACUGCUGCGACAGUUUGGGAAGUGGAGGCGUUGGAGGAGGCAAUCAGGGACACAGCUGAUCUCCUUCCGAACCGCCCCACCGUGGAAGUUCGAAUGUGGGGCGAUGAGAAUAUGAAGGAGGACGAGGAGCAAGCCAUGGCUGAAGAGGAGAUCCACACAAGCGUCUGAAAUUCAGCACGCAGUAUAUGUAAGUGUACACACUACACAGCAGUACACAUUUCAUCUGACAAGUUUCCAAGUUCUCUUUUCCCCCCAUAGUACGCAUACAUUCAAUUAUAUUUCUUGGAGUGAAUUGCAUUAUAGAUCACUAAACUUGUCUUAGCUGGUUCAAGUCAUGGAACUUCAAAAUUGCAUACCUAGUCCACUAAACUCUUUAAGUGGGCCUGUAUAGGUUACUAAAAUUCCAUCCUAGGUAUGAACUAUGACAUGAAUGUGGACUUGCACCACCGUGGCAUGUUGUGUGCUUAUUAUGGAAAAAAAAGGCACAACUCUGGUGGCAAAACUCAUUCACAACUCCAAUCCACCCUGUUCCACAGGGAGAAAGAUACCCAACUCCUCAGACAUUAAUUUUUUCCCAUCUUCCCGAGCAACUGCAUUGCUACCUUUUUCCUUUACAUUUAGUGUAAGAACGAUGUUGCUUUAAUAUCACAGAAUUGCUAAUGCUCAGUCGAUUGAUCUUAGCCAUUGGAUUUUUCCUCCAGAUUCGCCUUCAGUUUUUCACGGUAUAAAAUAUAUUCCAUUUUUUUACCAUGCAGUAGAGGUCCAACGUCUAACCCACUAAAAUUUUGUUGAAUCUCGGUCAACAGAGGCCCAGACCUUUAAUAUAAUCUGCACAUAUUUUGGUCAGUAUGCUGUUAAAUGAAGUUCUAAAAUUUUAUCUUUCAGAAUGCUACUGGAACUUUGCAGUUCUGUGGGUAAAGAAUUCUCCCAAAUUAGUCAAGUUACGACACUGGUACUUCUUUUAUCACAUAUGGGACAAGGUAUAGAAAUUCUAAUGUCCAAACUGAGACAAGAGGCUCCUUAGGGUGGAAGAAAAGAAAGUCCCUUCCGCUAAGAAAUUUACCAACAAAUUUGAUAAUUUCCAGUCUAUUGUCUUAAUUUCCAGUAGUGCAAUUAGUUAACUGAGUUGGCACACCUUAUUAUCUGUUAUUUAGUUCUGGAAUGUUAGUUUCUGGUGUCCAUACAUGACUAGAUGAGAUUAUUUGUUCAACUAAUAUUACAGUCACAAAUACAGUGGAAGUUUAACUGGCUUGAUGGUAUUGGUCAAGUCAAUAUUCUGAAAAUCUUAUUCACAAAAAAAAAAUCUGAAAAUGUCCCCAUAAAAAAAUCAUGAAAAUGGAAGGUUCCUCGAUGUCAAUUUACUCAGUGAACAAACUUCAAUAGUCUUCGCAUGCUAUUCCCACAUCUGGAAUUCUGGAUGUAGCAGAUAGGUCUGGUCACAUAUUUGGAUGCAGCAGUGGUGUCCAAUUUAGAAUGCAGCAAACUGUUUCCUUCCAGAAAACAAGAAAGAAUGCAGUAAAUCUUAUUUACUGCCUGGGGCAGAACUUGUUUAUCAUAUGAGGUGUGCUUCGGUCUUAUCAUAUACUCCAGCUUAUCACUAAGCAUAGUCUUUGCCCUGCUGCAGGUUCGUUAAAGUUGACUGAUGCAAAUGUUCGAAAAAAUUACCAAGUUCAUGGUGGUGGUGGAAGUUUCAUCAGACUCCAUUCCAGUGGCGAGUCAGCAUGUAGGAAACACACAAAUGCAUUGAAUUUUUCUUCUUCUUUCUAUGAUAUACUUUCGUUUACUCAUCGCCGCAAUUCAGUGACAUGGUCCAGUGGCAAAAGUUAAAGAAGAACAGUGGUAAAAGCGGAAUCUCCCCUGAGGCCUGAGCACAAUAAUCGGUCAAUUUCGCCUUUAGACAUAAAUUCCACACUACAUUUAUUCUCGUUGUUGCUUUCUUUAUAUGACUAGUUCUAAAUCUUUGCGUGAAUGUCAUUGAACCUUUAUUUCGUUCCGGAAUUAUGAGACCAUCAUCUCUAUCCAGUCACAAUUUGUCAUAUUAUUCAUUCUUUUCUCUCUUUCUUUCAAAUUUGUCAUAUAAUUAGUUGAUUUUUUUUUACUUUAAAAAAUAAGAGCUGCGCGAUUGCAGUCCGACAGUAUAUAGAUAUAUAGUUUUUACAAAGUGAGACACUGAAUUGCGACCUUCGAGGAUCAAACUCUGGUGGGCUGACAGCACACCUGACUGGCUGACCACCCAAGAUAUGCUUGGUUCUCUUGAAUUUAUUUUUUUGCUGGUUCUUAUCUGCGUUCCCAGAUUACCCGCCGUCACGAUUUUACUGUGAUUCUGUGGCAUUCUUCGAAUCUCUGAAUUUAUUCAUUGUUUGAAUGGCCGGUGGGCGUUUCCAGUCCCAGAUCAUGGCCAAAUGAAUUACUAGCGGUCCAUGUUCAUAUUUUUAUACCCGUGUUUCCAGAUGAUAAGCUUAAUCGUUCCAUCUGUUCCUAUUUGAAGCCCCAUCUAGCAGCUGGCUCAGCAAGCAAACGGAAGCCGUUUUCGCUCUUGCAAACUCCAGCAUCCGCCUGGGCCGUAUCGCUGGCUACGACACGCAUCUCUACCGUUCAGAAACACGAACAUCGAUCUGGGUUGAGGAGGCUGCCAUGCGUGGUUAACUGAAAGCCAUUUGCCAGUUUAUUUACAUUUUUCUUUUUUUCUACCUUGAAAUUCUUUGUGGGUGAAAAGAUCGGAACGUUAUUUGCAUUACCUCAUAUUUUUUGAUAGAAAAGUGAAUUUUUUUUUUAUCUCCGAGCCUCUGCAUCCAAUGUCUCGUUCAUCAUUUUUUUUCUUCGAAAUGUGUUGCUUUAAAUAAAUAAAUUAUACUUCCCUUUUUUCACAAAGGUUGGUAUAUUUAGUUUCGUUAAGCAAGCCUUUAACCAAGAAAUACUCUAUUAUUAUGUAACUUAUAUGAUAUGAAUUCAUGAUUAUUAGUAAGAACUUUUAAAAACAAAUCUAUUGAUAUAAAUUUCAUGCACGAAAAAACACAUACUAGUAGAGUUAUCGUUAGUCAAAGUCUUAUCUUAUCGAAACCAAAUACGUCAACCUAUGUGAAAAUGAGGGAGUACAUUGUUAAGUAUAUUUAAUUAUAGUUCGAUUCAAUAGUACGUAUGAACCUAAUGUCGCCAAUGUAUUUUCCGCCCUAGUCAAACAUAAAAAGGUUGAUCAACAUAGAUUCUAAGAGAAUGAUUAUUUUGAAACAAAUGAAAAUAAACUAUCGAAAUUAUUAGGACAAAGAAAAAAACAUAAGUUAGAAUGUCAUGGUUUAAGGUUCAGUUUUUCCCGAAAUAAAAAUACAUAAUUUUGCAAAAAAUAAAACAGCUACUCCAUAUUUGAAUUCUCCCAGGAAUUCAAAGAGAGAGAAUGACAUGCAAGACAAAAAAAAGAUAUGUAUAUAUUUUCCGUCCUCUAGGUGUUAGGAAAGCCGGCAUUUAGGGUGCAUUUGGAACCCAGGCUAAAACCGUUCGCCCAGGUUUGGUGUUUGGUAAUGAACAAAUUGACUGGCUUUUGAAGGCAAGGUAGCCAGAGCGGGCCAGAUUAACCUCGCUUCUGCGGGAGAGCCAAUUCGGCUAGCCUUCGACGACAAACCACGAUCGUGCAAAAAUCUCUCUCGUCACGUCAUCCGUUCCGUGGUUGUAACAACACCGUAACCAGAUGAGGACCCAUUAACCCUUGCCGUCAAAAGCGUUGAAUCAAACAAGCAGUGAUGGCAAGGCUGGCCUAGCUGGAGCUGGCUAGCUGGCCCACCUGAGCGACGAAACCAAACACUCCCUUAGUUUCUUAUAUUCUUUUCUACAUAUUUCAUUUUUGAGCGAUUAAAAUCGACACUUUUGGUCCCUCAACCACCCAUAAGAGGGAUCGGUGUCCAUGUGGGGUAGUUUUGCAUAAGACUUGCCAUAUGGUUGAUUCCACUGUACAUUCUCUCGUGUGCGCUUGCUCCUUUACUUUUCCUUUGUACUAUUCAGCGUUCUCUCCUACUUCUUCUCGGUGUCAUCCAUCUAGGAUCCGGAGCAGAACCGACGCUUCUCUUCAAGAAGAGGCCAACACGAGAAGCCUGGGGAGUAACCGACGCUUCUCUCUCUAGGUCACAUGGGAAACAAGAUGCAAAUCCUCUCCAUGUUGAAAUCUAUACCUCUUCCGAAUGAUCAAGGAUCAAGGGACCAAAGAUGUCCCGUUUCUAACAAUUAAGGGACAAAGUAUCUACUAGAAAAAAGGGAACACAUAUACUUUCAUGAGUUCAUCGUAGUUGGAACGGAAACAUAAUUAUCUUAAGCAUAUCAUGAACUAUGAAAACUACAAUCCAACCAAGUGCGGGCGGCAGCUGUAAACAAUUUGAUGGCCGCAUUAAGAAGACCUUCGAAGAAUCAAAUUGUACAUAGUUCAUUUGAAAAUUCUUUGAAGACCUAGGUGAUAGGCAGACUAGGAGGAAUUAAAGUAUUGGGUAAAUGUAAAAUGCGGAAUGAAAACAAAUUUAGCGUCUCGCGAUGGUGACAAGAGGAUGCUUUCCCGGUCACAAUUCACAAAGCGGCCUUAUUAGUUCAAAACAAAAACCACAAACAAUAAUUCCACACCCGUCCGAUCGAAAUCGGACGGCGGUGAGAAAUCCCUUUAUCUGCCCCCCUCUAUCCGCUUCCCCUCGCUCGCCCUUUCCGUCUGUCUCCCUCUCUCUCCCUCGCUUCCUCAGUUGGCAACUUGGCGCCCCCCUUCUGUAGCUCUCCACUCCUCGCUUCUUCCUCCUCCUCCGCCACCUCAACCUCAUCAGGAUAAGGCAGGCAAGCAGGCGGAGGCAGGCGGCAGGCCACGCUUCCGGUGCCGACCCGCCGCCGGCUCCCGGUUCUGGAGAGGCUGCAUGCAUGAGUAGUCGCGCCGCCGCCGCAGAGGAGCCAUGGGGAUGGUUACUGCCGCCGCCCUCAUCGCAUCUUCGCCUCAGGAUUCUCUCUGCCGCGGGUCUCUCUCCGGCGCGCCGAGGCUGCUGCGCCUGAGGCCCGCCUCCCCCUGCGUCAGCGCGCUCAGGUGACUGCUCGCUGGCCUGCUGCUACGUACCCUUGGGUCUCUUUGGUGUGCGCUACUGUGUGAAGAAGAAGUUCGCUUCUUUUAGAAUCCUGACGCGGGUGCCCGCCCGCGAGGUGCUGGAAAUUUAGCAUGACAGAUUUGAGCUGGGGAAUUUUUUUUUAGAAGGAUGCUACUUUCAUUGGGAUUCUUAGUCUGUUGUUGGUAGUGAAGAGAUAGGUGGUCAGGUAGAGGUUGGGGCAGAUUUCUGCUUCUCUGGACGCUUGGCAUAGGAAGCUAGGAAAUGCUGGUGAUGUUGCUAGUUGCUACUUCAGUUUUAUUGGUUGAUUUGUUGUCAGGCAGGCUUUUUAGAUAAUGCAACGGAUUUUGCGCCAUGGCCUCUGCAUCCUAGAUGCAGACAACGUAAAUUUAUUACCGCAUCAUUACAGCAUUCACGCCAUAUGGCGAAAAAGGAAGCGGCGAAACUACAUUAUUGGCCUUAUGUGUUGAUUUGUUUUGUUCAAAUGACAAAUGAAUUUGUAAGAAAAAGAGGAAAUUAGUUAAAUCAAGUGUUGUUGUUGUCAGCAUGUUUUCGCUUGAGCAUGCAUGCUGGUUCAAAAAAAAAAAGAUAAUGAUGCGUGCUGAUGCAUGGAUCCAGUCAUCCAAUAGUGUCAUCAAGAAAGAAUAAUUGAAUUUGUAAAGCCCUAGCAAGUUGAUAUGUGUGAAGUUACUGGAUUGAGCUUGUGAAGUUUUUGCUACUUCUCUUUCAUUUCAGUGCUUAGAUUUACCUGGAAAUUCCGAAAGAUUUGCUCUUGAAAUGUGUUAGUUUUUGGACAGAUUAAACAAGUUUGUCCGAAGGUGUUACAUAGCAAAUGCUGAGGUUGACGUUAGCAAUGUAAAUGAGGAAGAAGUUUUCGAUGAUCACUCAUCAUCAUUACCUCAGGGCUGCUCCAUUCCAGUUGUGCAUAUCCUAGGAGAUGUUCUAGAUUCUAGCCCAUUUCCUCUACAUGACAGUGCCUCCCACCAUGCUGUUUUUGAAGAGUUACCGGUAUGGAUCUUCUUUCCUCCACUAUGUUUUUUGUCGUAGUUUUUCUUUUUGUUCUCUUCUGACAACAACAACUUGUCCCAAGCAAGUUGGGGUAGGCUAGAUAUGAAACCCAAACAGAUUUUUUUUCCUCUUCUGACAGUCUGUCUAUAAUUCAGGUCUUGUCUGAAGGAGAGCAACAUACAUUGGCCGCCACUCCUGCUCACCCUGCUGGACUAUAUGGUGAGGGAAUUUUCAUUGUAACUAGUUGGAUUAUAUUUGUAUACUGUUAGCACUCCACACGCUAAACUAUGCAGUUAAUAGUGCACUUCCCUUUUAUGAAAAUGGAUUCAUGUAACCAAAAUAUCUGCUACUCCCUCCGAUCCAUAAAAAGUGUCGCCCAUUUUGUACUAAGUUAGUACAGAUUUUGUACUAAGUGGGCGACACUUUUUAUGGAUCGGAGGGAGUAUUUUAAUAUUUCAGAAUUUGAAGUUGAUUAAUGUUUUCACUUUACAAGGCCUAGCAUGUCACAAACAGUGCAUACCUGACACCUAGAGAUUUUCCAUUUUUGUAACAUUUUAGAUGAUGGAAGGGAAAGCCUCCCACGGUUCAUCUAUGAUGGACUUUUAAUACCCCUUUAACAUCUUGUAUGCAGCUUUAUAUGCUAGCUACUUGUUUGGUAACCUUGUGGAACAACUCUGGAAUUUUGCUUGGCCUGCUGCCCUGGCGAUUCUUCAUCCAAGCCUAUUGCCUGUGGCUAUUGUUGGUUUCUUCUCAAAGGUACCUGUCAGUUAUCACUGCACUAAAUUCAAGAGAGAUCUUUAGGAUUGUUAAUCUGAUUUAUUUUAUGAUAUCCAGCUCUCAGUAUUUAUCGGGGCACCAAUAGUUGGCAAACUUAUGGAUCAUUUCCCUCGAAUACCCAUGUACACAGGAUUGAAUGCUGUCCAGGUGCUUGUCUUUAUCUUCUCUAUUUUUCUUAGAUUAUGGCCGCAGAGAUAACAGAUUCCAUAAUUAUAAUUCAUUGCAAAAUUCAAAAUAAUCGAUGCAACUUUCCUGCAAAACCCUGCUUGGCAGGUAGCCACUCAGCUGAUAUCAGUUGCAAUGGUCAUCUAUGCUCUCAAGAAUGUGGCCCAUGGUUCUACAUCAGCUUUGCUUCUCAGACCUUGGUUUAUUGCACUAGUAGCAGCUGGAGCUAUUGAAAGGCUUGCAGGGUUGGCACUAGGAGUUUCCAUGGAGAGGGACUGGGUUGUUUUGGUACGCUAGCUAUUUCACGUAUUUCUUUGGUGGAUCAUUUUGUUUAUUUUCAUUGAAAUAUCAGACAUUCCCCUCCUGAAAUAGUAAGUUAAUGACUUAGAAAUGGAAAACUUUUCAUCAGAAGGAACACUUGCUAUCUUGUUGGUUUGAACAAACGGUCUCCCUUACUAUUCUUUUUCUCCAUGAAGUUAGCAGGAACAAACAGACCUGUUGCAUUAGCUCAAGCUAAUGCUAUGCUUAAUCGACUUGAUCUUAUUUGUGAGGUGAGAUGUUACUAACGUUAUCGAGCUUGCAUAUUAUUACUAGCAUCUUCUUAAAUUAUGAAGGCUUCAGCAGACAACAAGGUUGUCCGUUUGGUCCAUCGUGUUAUCUUAUUAGUACGUUUUGGAUUUCGCAGACUGUUGGUGCUUCAGUUUUUGGCCUUCUGCUGACCAAAUAUGAUCCAGUAACCUGUUUGAAGAUUUCCUGUGGUCUAAUGAUCUGCAGUUUUCCCGUUCUGGUAUACUGCAUACAUCUUCUUAAGCUGGAUCUUGAAUUGACAGAUAUAGUAUACUCACAAGAUUCUAUAUGGACUUUUUAGGUUAUGUUGGGUCAGCUAAUUAACAGCGUCUCUUGUCAUGCACUUGAUUCCUCGAGAUCCGCCAGUGACGAAUCUAUUUGUGCUGAUCUACUGGACGUACGCAAGAUAGGUGAGAAAGAAAAAUAAAAUUAAAGAGCAUGCAAAAUCUUUACAAAUCUUAUCAUUAAGCAGAAAAGCAAGUAAUUUACAAGGGCCUGACCCCUAAGGGCUUUGUAUUCAAUGAAAAGGAAAAACCCAACACCAAACCUAGCAACACAACAUAAUGCCUAUAUCUCAUGGGGAAUCAUCACAGCGAGGAGCUUAGAUCAUUGAUCACUUAUUUAGUUUGAGUUUUGUGGAUGGUCUAAUAUUCUCUCCAACCUUCAGUUCAAAAUGGCCUGAGUUAAUAUUCUCUCCAACCUUCAGUUCAAAAUGGCCUGAGUUCUAUCAAGCAUGGCUGGGACGAGUACAAGCGGCAGACUGUUCUACCUGCAAGUGUAGCUACCGUGUUUCUAAAUUUCAACGUAGCACUAGCUCCUGGUGCCAUAAUGACUGCAUUGUUGAUGCAUCGUGGUAUGUUUCCUUUCCCUAGCUCAAAUCUAUAAUUCCCAGAUGUGUCUACAAAUUAGUAACCGACAUUUAAUAGGUAUUAGUCCAUCCAUCGUCGGUGCUUUUAGUGGAUUGUGUUCUAUUAUGGGCCUUGUUGCAACAUUCAUCUCCGCGAGCCUGGUGAAAAGAGUUGGGAUUCUAAAGGUUGGACCUAUACGUUGUUGGUUCCAUUUGUAUAUUAUUUUUCACAGUUGAUGUGAACUGCUAUUAUACAUGCCAGGCAGGAGCAGCUGGGUUAAUAUUUCAAGCUUCACUCCUAUCAAUUGCUCUCACUGUGUAUUGGGCAGGGCCCAUUUCACAGAGAACACAUCUACUCAUCUUCCUCGCUUCCAUCGUAAGAAUGAAAUCUUAGCUAUAAAUUACCUUGAAUUAGGAAUUAGUUGAAUACGGUAGACUAAACAUUGUGGCUACUUGUCAAUUUGCAGGCGUUGUCUAGGUUGGGGCACAUGUCUUAUGAUGUUGUGGGGACACAGAUCAUCCAAACAGGAGUUCCUGCUUCAAAAGCAAAUCUUAUAGGAGGAAUGGAGGUUUCGAUUGCAAGCCUUGCGGAGUUGGUCAUGCUUGCGAUGGCUAUAAUUGCAAACGACGUCUCUCAUUUCGGCUUCCUCGCUAUCCUGUCUGUUUCAUCCGUUGCUUGGGCAGCGUGGAUGUUCUGUCGGUGGCUCGGAAAUCCAACGGAUGAACAGAGGGAACUCUUCAUGUUUGAUCCUCAUUUCCAGGUUCAAGCAACGUAAGUUCUAAUUCCUGCCAUUAUCCCGUUACUUAAAGUCUAAAGAUAAUGGAAUGGAAUUCAACAAGUAUUCAACUUCUGUACUUGAGUUAGCUUGUAAGCUCAUGUCUAAAAUUCCUGACAAGAGUUUUAUGUAAUUGUUCUCCACUCAGCUAACUAUGAACAGCCUCUUAACACGUUGCAUUAGCUAGUCGUAAUUAGACAUGAACUUAAAAAUGGCAUGUGACCAUUUUAAAAAUGUUUGUGAUCCAACUCUACAGAUGGCACAUUGCAAAAUAAAGGAAAGAAAAAAAAAGAUCCAGAUGGCAGUUCAACGUCAAGAACUAUACUACUACUUGCAAAUGACACUUUCAUAGAGCACCCCUAUCUUAUCUUGCAGAUAGAAGAUGAAGCACCAAAGUCCAGCGCAGCGUGGAAGCAGAGCCAUGGGGGAUGAAGCGCCUAGCUGGCUUGCUGCCACGCGUGCUCGAGGCCAACAUCCGUCCCAGCAGAAGUGCUGCCGCUUCAAAACUAACAGAAGAUCACACGAUUGCUUGUUCUUGGAGCCAAAAAAAAAAUGGGGGCAUGCCUGCAAUGAUCUUGAAGACGUUGCGCACAGCUGCCGUUACAUCUUUUGACUGAAUACAACACACACAAUUAGGAGUUAGGAGACAGAGACACCCAUCAUUUGUUACUGGUAGAUUCAACGUCUAUACCCCUUUUUCUUCUUCUUUCUGUCUGUUGUAUAGCUCAUCUACUGUCGGUUAAAUCAUUGCUUGUUGUAACUGACGCAGGACACGAACGUGACUUGUCAAUCCUAGUAACAAAAUCAACGGAAAUUGGUCUGAGCCUGGCCCAUUCCUCCGUCACCGAGCCAAGGCCCAAGGGGCUACAAAUAUAACUAAGAAAUGACCAUUUGGCCAAAAAAAAAAUACACCUCGUACCCCUGCAUUGUUCGUGGAGGCUGCGGGGUGGUUACAGUGAACAAACGCUCCACAGUGUUAAUGAGCCUGGUUAAUUAACGUCAAGGUGGUGCUGUGGUGUAGUCGGUUAUCACGUUAGUCUUACACACUAAAGGUCCCCAGUUCGAGCCUGGGCAGCACCAAAUCCACCAUGCUGGAAAUUUUUUUCCUCAUUCCUCCGGCACAAUGUAUUUUUAGGGUCAGUUGGUGUUUACUGUGUGUUGCAACUGCGAUGCAUGCGAGUAUAUAACCGUACUUAUGUAGAAACGUAUUCCACCGAAAAAACCACGUUUUCUCUGGCACAAACCAUUUCAAAAUAAACCAACGUAGAUGUAUGUAUAAAGUAUCACAAAACCAUUUAUUUUUUUGGGAAAUUUCUCUCACAUAAACGCAGUUCCAAUGCUAAUUGGUUACACAAAACCAAAAUGAUGCGAUUAGAUCGAGUUGGCUGAGAGCCUAUUUGACAUUUUUUAACUCGGUUUUGCUGUCCUAAAAAUAAAUAGAUGGCACCGAGAUGGCAGAAACAAAUUUGGCAGCUACCAGAAAUUUGCCCUUGCUAUUUCCAGUUUUCCACCCCAAAAAUGGCAGCCCCCUUGCCAGUGGCCACGAUCGUUGCCGCCAUAUUUGGCGGGAGGGAAUGCAUGCAGCCAGCCAAUCCCCUCCUCUCCCUCCCCGUUCAAACAAAUUUAGCAACCGAUUAACAAAACAAAAUCGCCAAUUAAACCACCCGCCUCUCUAUUAACCCGCGACCACCAAAUCCCCAAUCUCCAUUUCCCCCUUCCCCUGCUACGCCCGCCAUGAGGCCACGAGAUCUCGCCGCCUUCCUCCUCCUCCUCGCCGCGGCGGCGCUCGCCCCGCCGCCUUCCGCCGCCGUCUGCGUCCCGCGGGGCAAGCCCGUCGCCCUCCCCUCCCCGGCGACAAAGCCGAAGCCGAAGCCCGCCGCCCCGGGAGGCGCCGUCGGCGGCGACAUCGUCAAGUCCCUCUGCGCCAAGGCGGACGACCCGGCCCAGUGCGUGUCCUCCGUCUCGAAGCAGCCGGCGCCGGCGGCGGGGAAGAAGCUGGACGGACCCGCCGUGCUGCGGAUGGCCAUGGGCGCCGUGCGGGCCAAGGCGGCGGAGGCGAAGGCGAGGGCGCUGGCGCUGGCGGCGGACCCCAAGACGCCGAAGCUGGCCGUGGGCGUGCUCCGCGACUGCGCCGAGUCGUACGACGACGUGCCCUACAGCCUCGACAACGCCGACAAGGCCAUGGCGUCCGGCGACAAGGACACCACGGGGACGAUGCUCGACACCGUCCGCACCGACGUCGACACCUGCGACCAAGGGUUCGAGGACCGCGAGGAGCUCCCCAAGCUCAUGGCCAAGCAGGACGCCGAGCUCGCCAAGCUCGCCAGCAACUGCCUCGCCAUCGUCGAAGCCGCCGGCCUCCGCUAGAUUGUUGUGUUUAUGGGUUUCGUUUACACCGAUUACAGAGGCAUACUAUAUAGCACUAGCAUUCGUCUGAAAAAAAAACAUGUUGGGAAUUUGUGUCUGAUUAAUUAAUUGUAACAUUUUAACCUCAAAUUGUUUGUGAUUUUUUAAAAAAAAAAUCGUGUUGUAGAUCUUUGUUGAUGCCGAUCUCUGUAUGAUGAGGAAACUUUUAGCAUUGCUGCAAAAGAAAUUCUUGAGUCUCGCGCCGAAAAUGUGGGUCUUGCACUCUAUGUGACUUCGGACCACUACACGAAGGUUAACAACCAGUGGCCAUGCUCAAAAGGUUUUCAAUUUUGUACAUGCUUCGGCUCCAAAACAAGAGCUGUACCAAAACAAUUAUGCUUCAGAACCAUGGGUACACUAAUAUCUAUUUAUUUAUUUUACUUGGGCACCACAAGUUCGCCGUAAUUUCGGUACACUUCAGGAAAACCUCAUCACCAGUUAGCCAUCUGCUUGUGUUUCAGUGCCCUCCAACCGAUGUCACACCUGAAGAAUCCUUCGGGCCAGCAAAUAACAUCUGCUCAGCAUUGUCGAUAUUUUUUAUUGCAGUCCCCUUCUUGUAAGAGCCAGGGUAUCCUUCACUUGCCAUCACAACCACCAUUGCAAUUUCAGGCGACUAGGUUAGCUAAACCUUGUCUAAUUCUCAUUUGCAUGCAGAUAGCGGAACUUGUGCGAGAUCGGAUUCUAAUCACAUCAUCAGAACUGAGGAAAAGAAGUGGAAUUAAUAGAUCAAUCCACAAUCAGAAUUUAACUAAAGAAAUAACAGUUGACAGGUUAACUAGAAAAAUUAAAACCAAGAAGAAACUUUUUUGUGAAAUUUGCAUAUUAAGAUUCUUUGUUGCACUAGAGAAACAUGAGGACAUAUGUGGAUAAGGGGAAAAAGUCACAUCAGCUAUCAAAUAUUUGAGAAAACCUUUAAAACAACAAUGGCACUUUGGACUCUAACUAACCUAAUUUACCAGGAGGAGGACAAGAGCAAUAGUCUCAAUCGUCGCAUGAUGGGUCGAUUUCACCGCUUUCUUAAUGACUGCGAGCUGAAGGAGAUAUAUCUUCAUGGUCGUCGCUAUACGUGGUCUAACGAGCGUGAGGCUCCCACCCUUGUGCGACUUGACCGCGUUUUCUGCACGAUUGACUGGGAGGAGCUGCAUCCCGAUUGCUCAAUGCGUUGUCUCUCCAUGGUAAUUUCGGACCACUGUCCGCUCCUUUUGGACUGUUCGCCACGGCCUUCUACCCGUCGGCGCUUCCAUUUUGAGAGCUUCUGGCUUAGGAUGGAUGGGUUUGCUGAGGUCGUGGCUGACGCCUGGGCUAACCACAAUGACAAUCCUGACCCUUUCAGCCGGUUGGUGUCGUGCCUUAAGCUCAUUGCACGACGGCUGAUGAGCUGGAGUGACAAGAACGUCGGAUGCGUCAAGCGUCAGCUAAUGCUAGCACGUGAGGUCAUUUUUCACUUCGACGUUGCCAUGGAGUUUCGUAGGCUUUCGACGGCUGAGCGCGAGUUGCGUGCCCGUCUCAAACAUGCCUACCUUGGACUCACCUCCCUUGAGCGCACCAUUGCUCGCCAACGUUCGAAGGUCGCCUGGCUUAAGGAGGGAGAUGCCAACACCACCUUCUUCUACCAGCACGUGUCCUUCCGGCGGCAGCGGAACACCAUCAACUCUCUCGCGGUUGGUGAUACGGUCCUGUCUGACCACGGAGACAUGGCGGAGGCUGCUUCAACCAUUUCUCAUCCCUUCUGGGGAUGGCUGAGGACCGGAACUUUUCUCUGAACCUUGAGUUCUUGGGCACGGAUGCGGUUGAUUUGGCAGAGCUGGACGCCCCCUUCUCGGAAGCCGAAGUGUGGAAUGUUGUUCGACUCCUGCCAUCGGGGAAAUCACCGGGCCCUGAUGGAUUCACCGCCGAGUUCUUUCAGGCUUGCUGGACUACAGUCAAGGAUGAUGUCAUGGGGGCCUUUGGCAAGCUACAUGCGUUGCAUGGACGUGGCUUCCAAGGUUUGAACCAAGCACUGUUGGUGCUAAUCCCGAAGAAGCCUGACUCUGCAACCCGGAGAGAUUUUCGACCGAUUAGCCUGAUCCACUCGUUCGCCAAGCUUGUGGCUAAGUCUCUUGCACUAUGUUUAUCCCCUAGGUUAAGCAGUCUGGUUGGGGAGAACCAAUGCGCCUUUGUCAAGAAGCGAUGCAUCCAUGAUAACUUCAUGCUUGUGCAGCAGACGGCCCGCUUCCUCUAUCGUCUCAAAGAGUUAUGUUAAAUUUGGACAUAGCCCAUGCUUUUGACUCGGUAUCUUGGGCCCUCUUGUUUGCGGUGCUGCAGCACGUUGGUUUGGGACCUCGAUUCCGUGAAUGGAUUGCCAUUCUCUUGUCCACCGCCAGCACCCGCAUUCUGCUGAACGGGGAGCCGGGCCCGCCGAUCUGGCAUCAAAAGGGGUUGCGGCAAGGAGAUCCCCUCUCGCCUAUGUUGUUUGUGUUGGUGAUUGACACGCUCAACCGGCUUUUAGCCAAGGCAACUGAGAGAGGUAUCUUGCGAAGACUCGCUGCCCGCCAUCUGUUGACAAGCGUGUCCCUGUACGCAGAUGAUGUUAUCAUUUUCUGCCACCCGGACCGCUCGGAGCUCCUCACAGUGCGUCGUCUCCUCUCCUUCUUUGGACAGGCCUCGGGGCUUCAUACCAACUUUGCCAAAUGCUCGAUAUCUCCCAUUGGGUGCACGGAGGAUGUGGCCGCGGAGGCAGCCGUCGCGAUGGGCUGUACCAUGGCUCCCUUCCCGAUGAAAUACUUGGGGAUCCCUCUGGGAAUCCGAAAACCUUCUGCUGAGGCUUUUGGCCCCCUCGUUGACAAGAUUGCCAACCGAUUGCCGGCCUGGAAGGCCGGCAUGAUGUCUAAGUCUGGUCGACUGACCCUAAUUAAAUCAGUCUUGUCGGCCAUCCCGUUGCACCAAAUCCUGGUUCUGGGCCUCUAUCGGAAGGUACAAAAGCGGGUGGAGAAGAUCUUGCGGGGCUUCCUUUGGUCGGGCCGGGCUGAGGCUCGUAGCGGACACUGCCAUGUCAGUUGGUCCAAGGUUUGCAGGCCUCUUUGCUACGGUGGCCUUGGCAUUCCGGACUUCUCUUGACUGGCCGUCAGUCUCCGCGUACGCUGGAUGUGGCGGAUGCGAACUGACCCUCUUCGCCCUUGGCGUGGACUGGACUUACAGUCCUCUCAUUUGGAGCGAAGAGUUUUUUUCGCCUCCACCAUGAUGGUGGUCGGGGAUGGCGCCUCCGCUCUGUUUUGGGCUGACCGUUGGUUGGAUGGUCGUGCAAUCUCAGAACUGGCCCCAAACCUCGUUCAGUUGGUUCCAAGACGUACCCAAAAAAAUCGCACUGUCCGCGAGGCCCUUGCUGAUAGAAGUUGGAUCCGCGACAUCCAGGGGAUUCUUGAUCCUGUUGCCCUUUGGCAAUACCUUUGGAUUUGGGAGCGGUUGCGUAUGGUCCAGUUUUCAGAGGCGGCUGAUACCCUGUGCUGGAGAUGGACGGGUGACGGACAAUAUUCUUCCAAGUCAUGCUACCGCAGUCUCUUCCAUGGGGGUGUUCUUUCUGACACUUGGAGGCUGAACUGGAAGUGUUGAGCACCGCCACGUGUCAAGUUUUUCAUCUGGCUCGCCUGCCAUGACCGAUGCUGGACGGUGGAGAGAAGGGCACGUCACGGGUUGUCUCAUACCCCGCGGUGCUUGCUGUGCGACCAAUCGAUGGAAACCAUGAAUCACCUCAUGGUCGACUAUCCCUUCUCCCACUUCCUGUGGCAUGAGGUGCUUUCUUGGAUCCGAUCCACCGCUGCCCCUCCUAAUGUAGGUGUCCUUUUUGCGGAUUGGUGGCACGCGACGGUCAACACCGCUCCUUCUUCGGCUCGGAAGGGCACUGCUUCAAUCAUCAUGCUCACGGUCUGGUGGAUUUGGAAGCAUCGCAACGUGGCGGUCUUCGACAACGUGACUCCUAGCAUCGCCUCACUGACCGGAUCCAACAAGGCGGACGCCAGGCUGUGGGCUCGGGCUGGGGCGACUGGGCUUGGAGCGCUACUCUCGUCGGUCACUGGUUCUUAGAGGUCUUGCGUUGUAUUUUUUUUUGGGUGUUGCCCUCUUGGGCUUGUAAAUUACUCUUUCUCUCAAUAUAUGCAUCGAGACGCAAAGCUUUUGCGUUUUCUCGGAAAAAAAACUAUGAGUUUAAUGCUGGAUCGUUGAAUCAAAGUUCUUAUGCCUUUAAGCCUAAAAAUUGGAGAUCCCACAAAGGUCAACAAAAUAGAUUGUGCUUCUGAAAUUACGUGGAACAGCACAACAUCGAUAGGUGGCACAAGAUGAUUGAAGAGGGAAAAAUAGGAAUGCAAGUUUCAAAACAAGCAAGCUUGAGCAGUCAAAAAAGCAGGAUACAUCUAUUCUAUUUCGUAAGUAAGUGUACAUAACAAUAAGACACAAUGUCUCGAUGGCAUUUGUAACGCAUUCACUCUGUUCGAAUCUGAAUGUAGUGGUUAAUUUGUAUGUUGAUGCAAAUUUUGAGUGGUAUAUUUGGAAGCUGAAAAUAUCGAAUGGCAUUUGGACAUCUAUGUAAAUAUUGGAAUUCUCUCUUAAUCAAGCACAUUGUACAGAAAAUAUAUGUGGGGAGAAAACUAGAAAAAAAAUCUCCAGAACAAAUAACAUCUCAACAACAGGACUACUCCAUAACAGAGCAGAGAAGUACUAGAGAACACAAAAACCACUCUAAAGAAACAGAAUGAUCCCAAAAUAUGUGCAAUGUUUAAAUUGAAUCACUAACUUGCCGACCAACGGAGGAUCAACUUCCUCUUAUCGUGUACUCAAACACUCCAUAAGUCACCUGCAAAGUUUUUUCUGGUAGAGAUCUUUGGUUGGUAUUUUCUGGUAGAGGAAGAUACCCGGUUAUGGCCUUAAGGCGACAACAGCUACAAGGCAAGGUUAUGGAGCUAUAUCUGCAACCUGCAGGGUAAAGUUUCUGUGCCAGGUUAUGGAGCUAUAUCUGCAACCUGCAGGGUAAAGUUUCUGUGCCUGCUGGACUGCUAGAGGCAUCGGCAGAGGUGAUCGCUGGGAGGGUGCUGAAGCGAUCCCCCGUACAAGGUUUGAUCUCUGUGCUUAUUUAUGCUAGUCCCUGGAUCGACUCACUAGCACACACAGUUCCAAGAUGUAAUACCAAGAAACAAAGGUCGAAAGUACUUUAUUACAUCGUAUCAUCCAGAACUUAAUAGUACUUACAAACUUGCAUAACCCCUUAGGUCAACAUAACAAAUAGAGUUUCAGAAUAACCAAGAUAUUGUUUCACAAACGGCAGCGGAAAAAGUGAAGCAAAUGGGCCUCAACUACUCCCAGAGGAUAGAGCAUGUUGGAAUGUAGGCACAUGACCCAAAGAACAUCGACGAACCUCAUUCUUCGUCAGAUUCACCUGCAUUAUUGAUUGCAGCCACUACGUGGUCAAUACAUUGAAUGUAUUGGCAAGCUCACCUGUAAGUUAUAACAGAUCCUACCAAGUAUAUGCAAUUGAGGUAUAGUGGGGUUCAGGCUUUAUGGCGUGGUAGCAAAAUAUAGUUUAUCCUACUACAAUUGAAUGUUACAAUAUUGUUAACUAAUGGACACUGGGUAGAAACACCGAUGCUCCUAUUAAUCUAAGGACAUCGAGUAGAAACAUCAAUACUCCUAAACUCAAGUUCAAACCAUUCGUUUUAUUUAAGAAGUUGGAAUGAGUGAGAGUUUCCUUACAGCCCCCAUAUCUAGUUGCUCAUAAUUGUCCGUAACCGGCGACACGGCUAAGUACUUAGUUUGACACUCUCGAGAGGUGAUACACUUUACCCACAAAAAAUCGACGUGUUAAUCCCUUGCUGUCCUCAGGGUAGAGUAGCAACGGUAUCGAUUACACGAAUUUUCAGAACAUAAUCCCCCAUACCACCUGAAGGACGCGCUCCCACCUACACGGCUACAUACCGAUGUCAUCCUCGGGUCCGGGUUCAUAUUUCUUACAUCCAUCCUGCCAGAGCCCAUUUAGCAUGUGGUUAUACUGGAAGCUACUAAACAGGAAAACUAGUCCAGUCUUUGGUUACCCUGGGUGGCAUUGCACAUUUGCGACGCAAGCGCUCUCCGAAUCCACAGGGAGACGUCCAUGGAUGAUCCGCCCCCGAAUCCACGGGGACUCGACUCAGAGGGACCCAUAGAAAUGGACCUGACGUCGCAUAACAUCUCGAAUCCUCAAAGCCGUCCACCCAGGAUGGUUCAUUAGGGUUGUUUUGCUAAGUUUCCAAAAGUACUCCACAUAAUCAGUUUCACAGUGAUUGAGAUUCCCUCCCACGUUUACUAACAUAGCAUGGCUAAGCAAUACUAAUCACGAUGGCUAUUGAUGGAGGAUUCAUGGAAAAGGUAACCCUAUCGCUAGUAGGUCAAAUCAUAGCUAGCAUAAGUACGAGUAAUAAUCCUAUCAACGCAUUCUACAACCAACACUAAUGCAUAAGUAUUUUAAAAACAAUAAUAAUAGGAUAUGAUCAAAGUGAACUUGCCUUGGUAGAAGUUGGAGUUCAAACACUCGUCACAAUCACAAGGUUCGCUCUCCGAGAAAACUAUACGAAACAAAUAAUACACACACACAUAAACACACAAUUCAAAUCACGACAAAAGAAUGUAUGCUAUGAUGCAAUGCAAACAUGUGACAUGAUUGGGUGAUCAACUGAUCCUAAGCAUUAGUAAUUAAAAACAAAUGCCUUAGGGUUUUAAACAAAAGGUAAAACAAUUGAUUAAAACCCUAAAUUAUAGUUUUAUUGGCAUCAGUCAAAUAAUUUAAUUCAGAAUAUUUAUAUUUCUGUCCCAAUGGAUAGAGGAUAAUAAAACAAAUUUUUGGGCACUGGUUUCAAUUAAAAAGGACUUCUAAAUAAUUAGUUAUGGAUUAAACGGCAUUAAACCCUAUUCUGUAAAUUGACUGUGAUUAAAAUAUUUAAAUUUAAAUUUAAAUAGUGCCAAAAGAUUCUACAGGUUCAGAGCUUUCCAAAAAGGUAAAGUUUGUCAAAUUUGGCCAAAGGGUUUAAAAGUUAUAAGCUUUUGAAGUUGCAGGGACUUUUCUGCAAAAGUGCCAUUUAUUCUAAACCGGGGGAUUAAAAUUACAUUUUUAUUUUCUAUUAAAGUGCCACGUGUCGCAAUCUCAUUGGUGCGUACCGGUUUGAGUAAAAUGAAUUAAUAUGUUCUAAUCUUGGCCGUUGGCCAAGAUCCGACAGCUGGGAUUGAUCGGGCUCACCUCCGCGAAACCCUAGGGUUCCAACGAGGUCGUCCGGCGGCAGCGCGGCACGGGCGGGCGGCGGGCGGCGUCUCCGGUGGUCGCCAGUCAUCGGGGAGGAGAUGGGUGAAGGCGGCGCGACGAUACGAGCUCGGUGACGCGGUCCGUUCGGCGAGGCGAGGUCCGAGGCAACGCCUAGGACGACGGUGGCGCGACGCGGGCUCCGGCAAGGUCGGGCAGCACGGUUCCGGCGGCUAGGGGGCACCAUAAACAAAUUUGCACGCGUCAAAAGAUGCGCACGGUCGAGGGGCUCCAGAAAUUUGAAGAUUCGGCCGAAGAGGCUCACUGGCGAGGGCGGCGCGACGCGAAGACGGCGGCGGCGGGUUCCUUGCUCCGGCGAGGCAAUUCGGCGGCGUGGGCACGUGCGAGAGGGGGCGAGCAGAGGGGAAAGAAAGAGGAGGGGUGGAGCUUUAUAGGGACGCGCACGGGCAGCUUCUGGAAGGCCGAAAUCGACGGGAUUCCGGAGAUUGCGGCGGCGGAAAUCAGACACGGACUCGGCGGCGGGCGCUUUCCUUCCGGGGAAGAAAGCCCUGACAGGUGUCAGGGGCUCAGCGCGCGCGCGCGGGCGGCUAGGCCGGCUCGUUCGGUCGGUUCGCGCGGAAAGCUGGGCCGGUUCAGCCCAUUUGGCCGGGCCGGGCCGGUUUUUCCCCUUUUUUUUCUUUUAGCCUUUUCUUUUUCCCUUUUUCUCAUUUCUUUGAUAUCUUUUGAUUUUGAACUCCAAAUUGGCCCAAAUAAAUCCCAAAAAAUUUGUAAAAUCAUGUUUUAUCAUGAUUCAACUUUUGGGAGUAAUUUCCCCUCAAAAUAAAAUAUAUAAAAAUACAUUUGCCCUAUAAAUGCCUUUAGGGCUAUAUAACUAUUUAAAUAAAAUAGUUUUUCAACUCCAAAUAAUUAUCCAAAAUUUAUGGGGUAGCUUAUUUAUGCAAUAAACCCCUUUUAUAAAUAAACCCUAUUGGUUUGAAGAUCCAAAGCUCAAAUGGGUGUAAACCCUAGGGUUUAAAUUGAAAAAAAAUCUUUUAAAAACCUUUUGAGAUUCAAUUUUGAAUUCAAAUAUGUAAUUGUGGCAUGAUGCUUAUGGAUGCAAUGCACUUGUAAAAGUUUGAAAUUUUUGGGAUGUUACAGGUGCGGAGGAGAGCAAUGGAGCCGGCUUGAACUGUGAAGCCGAGGAGAUCACCGUGGUCCACGUGCCGGUGCAUCCGGAUGACAGUGUCCAUGGCACCAUUGCUAGUUCAAGAAGGAGUUACAGUCGACGGCCAAGUUUGACCCUGAGCAAUUACCAGUUGUUUCUUAUUUCUGAAUCCAGUUUCGUUCAUGUACGUUGGACAAACAGACAUUCCCUCGUGAAUACACCUUGAGGCUCGUAAACAAGCAAGAUAUCAACUUCAACACUGCACACAGUUCAAUUAAAAACAAAGAUCCAUAGGGAUCGAUAACAGGCAUGCCUGCUGCAACCCUGCUCAAUAAAAGAAAAGAACAUCGAAAUGGAAAUCUCAACUUAAGCUAAGAGCACAGUGAAUUUUUCUAACCUGCAAGCCUACACAAACCAAUCUACACUUGGUGAAGGUAAACUAGAUGGUUAAUGAAAGAAUCAAGCAAACAAAAAGAAAAACGGGUAUUUGCUACAUGCUCACCGAAUUAGAGUGUCUCACUAAAGCUUUGAUAUAAGAAGUAGAAAAAUAAACAUGUGUCCGUGUGCUUUAUUUUUUUAAUGAGUAAAAAGCCAAAUCAACAAAGCAAUUUAACCAGGCAUCCAUGUCUAAAAUAUAAUUUACCAGGCAUAUGUGACCAUAGAAUCCUAGAAAAUAUGAACUUUUCAGAGUUUCAAAUAGAUUGAGUAUCAUAGAUCAACAUAGAGUAAUAAAUAAAUGCUCAUGAAAUAUUGCCACUUUGAUUCACAUCUACUAAAUCCACGACUCAAUAUCUUCCUCAUGUAUUCAACCUGCCACCAUUGAACUAAUUCAUUAGGAAUCUUUGAAGCCCAAAUAUCUUAAUCUUGUACCAUAUAAAACUUGAGCUCUCCAUAUAGGAUGAUACAAUCUUUAGACACUCUAUUCAACAGUGUCCCAGGGAUCAGCCCUUGAGAAAUCAUGGCCAUAUCGACUAUGCAUGAAUCUUGGCCCGCACCUAUUGAGUUCAACACGGGCAUCUUGUGAAGCCCUGUUCUCCACUUGCAACUGCCUACGAUGAUAUUGCAGACGCUUGUCACUGCGGUUGCUAAUGACUUCAAUUUUCAUAUCCUUUAGAACUUUCGCAUUCAAGAUAAGGAACUUCGCAAAGUCCAUAGCUGCCUUGUUGUUACCAUUAUAAUUCCUUAACACCACUUUCUUGAGAUGAAACUCAAGGCAUUCAACUGGAUCCCGUGGGUCAUAUUUCUGCAAAUUAUUCAUCCCCUUUUCUGGGUAUGACUGCAGAUAAAGAAAAGAAGCAACAUAAGGAGGAUGCUAAAAUUUAUGCUACAAUCUGCUACACCGUAACUUGAUGCUGAUUUUUGACAUUUAGAGCAACAAAUAGGAAUACUUACGCUGACAUACAACCUCUCUAAGCAAGGGAAGCACCGAAGAAGUCAACAACCACAUCAAAUUUAGGACCGAUGGAGUCAAGAAACAGAAUCUUCAUGGUGUGCAUUUUGGUUGUCAAACUGAGAGCAACCUUUCCCUAGAGAACAAGAAUAAAGAAGUGUAAAUAAGAAUAAUAGCCUCUAUAUAGGAACGUCAAAUGUGCGAUUGACCAUGCUGCUACCUGAAAAGAUGUUGCUCCAAGGUGGAGUGUGGACAUGCUAUCCGUUAUUAAACCCAAUAUUUGAAGUUUUGGUGCCUAGAUUACCCGGACGGUCGUAGGACUGCGUAAGGGAUCAAUUGCCUGGAUGAACCGUAUAUUCGUAGGACUCAUUGACAGAUUAGAUGAUACUAAUCUCUCAAGGCAAGGGGCAUUCUCAAUGACAAGCUCUUGAGAAGUGUCCCAUGAAGCAUUGAAGAUGAUGCUCCUAAUAGUUAGGGAGCUAAUGCAUAUGCGACCAAAGUUCACAAAAUGUAGCGAAAGGCUUUCUAAAGUUGUGCACUCAGAGAGCAAGUUGUGGAGAGAGUCCUCAGAGAUGAUGACUUCAUAUAGGAUGAGCAGCUUGAGGAGCGGAAAAUUUGGAGACGGCAGCACAACCAAGUUGGGGAAUUGACAACGCUCUAGAUUGACUGCGCAGAGCGUGGGCGCGAAACGAAGCACGGCCGUAGGCAGUAUGUAGUGUGCCGCUGCCUUGUUGGCGACCUCGAUCUCCUGGAGGUUAUCGAGGGAUUGGGAGUAAAGCCACCCAUCAAUCUCGCCCCUGCGUCUGGUGAGGAUGGCGAGGUGGAGCGAGAAGCGGCGAGCAGAGCCUUGAUGGUCAGAUAGGAUCUUGGAGACCACAUCGGGGAUGAUUGCUAGGUGAUGAUCAACCACAAGGUUGAGAGGUGUGGAGCGCCAGAGGGGAAGCCAACAGUGGGAGAGUACCUGUGUGCGCACGCCAUCCUUAGUGGGGAGGAGAGAAAUUAUGGUACCAAGGAUGGCAUCGGGGAGGUUGCUGAUGAGAUCCUCGAGGCUCCGCAGAUCGUCGAGGCUGCUGCCGCUCUCCGGUGGUUUUUCUUGGUCAUCAACCGGAAUAGAUCUGCCCCUCUUGGAAGCACGCGAAGCCGCCACCUCCGCCUCCUCCAUGGGCGGCGGCCGGCCUGGGAUAGGGUUUCGAUGGUGUGUGGUUUGAGGAUUGAGGAAGGGAUGAGUUAGGGAUGUUUUAUUUGGAUUGUUGCCUAAUAAACCAUUGCAAUCCGUUGCCAUGUUUUUGGUCUACCAACGGGCUCGGUCCGGCACAAAACUAAACAGGACGUGCCGGCCCGCAGCCCGCCUUGGGCUGGCCUGCCCAGCAGGUCCAUUUAGCAUUUUUCUUUCCUUUUUACAUUUUCCUUUCUUAGAUCCUCACGGACCUCCUGGCUAAACGGGCCUGUACCGGCCCAGGCCAUGCCUUUAUUUGUUUUGGGAGGAUCCCACCAGGCCAUGCCUAGGCAUGGGAUUAGCCGGUCCGGAACAGCCCACUUAUAAACGGGCUAAUCGAACCGGGGCCGUGCCGAGCCUGUUAAGACGCGUAGCCCGGUCCGGCCCGUUGGCCACUUACCUAUAGGUGCAUAUCCACCGUUUAUCCAUCGUACGAAGAUUGAACAGGAUUUCCUCGUACCCAUAGCAAAACCGUUCCUCUUCCCCGUUCGUCUCCCGUGUCCUGAGUCCUGACCGGCUGAACCCCACCCCCAAAUCCGACCCAAUUCGGGACUCUCCAAGCCCUAGAGCUGCCGGCGAGCUGACCCGGCGCCUCCCGAGGCCCCGCCGCCUCCACGCCGCUCCCGUUCUACCUCUUCGUGUCCCCGCUAUCUCAACCCCCGUCCGUGCAAGUCCGGCCACUGGUUCCCCGAGGUACGAGUACUUCGCCAUAUCCCCAGCGAUUAGAUUAGUCAACACCCCCGCUGACGGAUCUUCAGGAUUUAUGCUCUAGAUCCGCCCACUCAGCCACGCAGGCCAGAGAGAGACCAACCCUGCCGUGAAGCGCUCCUCCCGGUCAUCUAUGUCAUCCAGGGGUUACUCGAGGAGGGGGCCUUCAGACGACAAUGUUGGCUCCGACGGGGGGCUCCGGAGGCGUGAGCUUUAUCUAAACGGGCCUUCCCAGGACCGUGCCUCCAAGCGUAGCACCGAGGGUGCUCUGGCCCCUCCUGGCUCGAAAAGCUCGCAGAAGAGCAAGGGGGGCAACCAGUCGCAUCCCGAGGCCUCGGGCAGUGGCUCAAGGAAGAGCGAGGGCAGCCAUGGGGUACAUGCGUCGGCAACGGGCAAUGAUGAUUCGUCGACCAGGCCAAGGAAGGUUAAGCUCAAAAUCGGAGGGAUCAGUCGGAGCAUACCGGCAAAACCAAACCCUGAUGCACCAGAUUCCAGGCCUUCGCAGCCAGGAGAAUCGCGGCACCGCCAAAAGCAUGCUAGUCAGGUAAACGGCAAGUGAUCGGUGUCUUUUGUUUCGCAGUAUACUUGCAUUGCACCUUAUAAACAGAAGCAUCAUCUUGAUUUGAGAGUUGAAAAUUUGGUAGCCUGCUGAAACCAAGUUCUGCAAGGAAAAGUAGCUGGUGUUGCUAGGACAUACACAUGUACUACCGCCGUUGCUAAAUAUAAGAUGUUCUAACUUUGUCCUACGUCAAACUUCUUAAAGUUGACCAAGUUUAUAGAAAAAUAUACCAAGUUUGACUAACUCUAUCAUGUUUACAGGACAAAUAUAUAUCAUGAGUAUCAAAUAAGUAUACCAUGAAAUUAUAUAUCAUGACAAAUUUAGUAAAACUAACUUAGAGUUGUAGAUGUGGGUAGAUUUUUCUACAAACUUGGUCAAACUUUAAGAGUUUGACUUUGGACAAAGCUAAGACAUCUUAUAAUUAGGAAUGGAGGGACUAGUUUCUACUUAUCAAGAUUUUCUUUUACCUCAAAUUCUUGCCACUAUAACUGUUCUUACUAUUAUGUUACAAGCUAUGCUGUUACUUGUGUUCUUUGCAAAUCUGUUCCCUUUAUUUACUACCCAUAAUUGAUUGAAAAAGAUGAACUAUUUUUCAGACUGAAGGGACAAAAGAUUCCAGUAGGUCGCAAGACAAGAAAACAAGAAGGGAGAGAGCACUUGAAGACACCUUUACUCCAGAACAACCAGCCAAAGUUCAGAGAGAAUCAUCUUCAGAUCCUGUCCGGAAGAGUAGGAGGCUUGCUAAGAAAUCCAUCUUGGACAGUGAACUAGACGAGGAAUAUGAUACAAGUGCUCUUGAAAACCUUGGAGCUUCUAAUGAUAAUGAUGGUCGUAUUCGUGAUUCCAAGAACAAAGGAGGAAGUAACUCUAAGAAGAAUGCCUCAAAGAAAGAUAGAAGUAGGAGCACAGUGUAUGAGGUCGAUAAUGAUUUUGUUACACCGCAAUCAAAUAGAGAUGGCAAGAAAAGGUCGAGAGAAUCUACUGAUGCUGAAGAGGAACUGGCCUCUGACAGUGAGCCUGAAGCCGAAAACAAGAAGCAGAAGGCAGUCGUUGAAUCACCUGCAAAUGUUAAGAGUGAACCUCUGACAACACGUCGCCGUGCCCUUCAGUCAUGGAUGGAUGGGAACAGCAACAGUACCAUUGAGUUCCCUGACGGUUUACCUACAGCUUCAUCAAGAAGUAAAUGCUACCUAUACUAACCUAUCCUGUUCAUACUAACUUGACUGGAAUCUUGUGCUGAUUUGGUUUGAAAAUCUUUCUGUGGCUCCAGGCAAGAAGGAAAAGCUCUCUGACGCAGAGAUGAUCGCCAAGAAGGCUGAGGCUGCUCAGCGGCGCAAGAUGCAAGUGGAGAAAGCCACUAAAGAAAGCGAGGUUGGAGAAAUAUUAGCUUACCUUCUUUUAAACCUGUUGGAAAUGGCUCGAUUUCUAGUAGUUCUCAGAAGUGUUAAUCUCCACAGGCUGAAGCUAUAAGGAAAAUAUUGGGCCUGGACACCGAGAAGAAGAAAGAAGAAAGGAAGCAAAAGGAGCGAGAGGAGAAGGUUUAUUGCAUAUUUUAUCAUGCCCAUUACACUCUCUUGCAUCUCUGUAACUUCUAUGUUCUGAUCAAAUUAUGCUUUUUACACAGGAAAAGGCAGCCAGAGCGCAAGAUCUUGCCAGAAACAGUAUUAGGUGGGUCAUGGGGCCCAAAGGCACUGUGGUUUCAUUCCCAGAGGAGUUAGGCCUCCCUAGCAUCUUCAACACCAAGCCCUGCAGGUAAGGAGUCCUCGCAUCCUUCUUAUUAUUGCAUUUGAGAAAUCAAUACCAAACGUAUAUCAUCUCACGUCACCUUCAUCACCCAGCUACCCUCCCCCGCGUGAGAAGUGCGCCGGACCAUCGUGCACAAAUGCGUACCGGUACAGGGAUUCGAAGCUGAAGCUCCCCCUCUGCAGCCUGAAGUGCUACAGAGCCGUCAAUGGGAACGCUUGAUUUUAAGGAUGGAGUCGCAGCCGCUUUCGGGUCCAUGCACUGUCGAAAUAAGAGAGCACGCUCGCUCCUGAUGAUGGAAAUUUGUUUCUUGCUCCAAUAAGUGCUUCAUUGUGUGCAGACAUGCAUAGUUACAAAUAGAUCUGUGGGUAAAUGGUUUUCUUGUACUGCACCAGUUUGUUUAAUGUUUACUGAUCAGCAUCAGAUGUGCUGAACUAUGAUGUUAUCAGACGCUGUCUAUGUAGAUAUUAGCGAUGCAUAUAGAAAGUAAACAGCAGAAUAAUCUUGUUUUCUCUUUUUUCUUGUGGGCUACCGCAGAACAAUCAUAUAUUUUCUCCGAUAUUUGGUGAGUUCGUGGUGAUUUUCUGUAUGCGGGAGACAAAAGGUAUAAAUAAAUUUGCUGUUACAAUUUCAAAUAAAAUAAAAUGAAGAAGCAACUUAUGUUGGAAGAGAGAAAUAAGUACAGCAGUACAAACAAAUAAAGCGUUGCACUUUCAAAGAACUGUGAACUGGGAAGGGUGGGGUUGAAACAAAUUAGGUUUUGCAGUUUUAAAAAUGAAAACUUACAAAACCAGAAAAUGGGGCAUUCCGAGAAUUGAACUCGGGACCUCUCGCACCCUAAGCGAGAAUCAUACCACUAGACCAAAUGCCCUUCUUGAUUAGAAUGCACAAAUUAAAUGUACAAAAGCGAACUUUCAUCGGUUUGGUCCAGUCGCCUGAAGCCACGGGCCAGGCCAGGCCAGUCUUGUGGACUGGGCCCGUCAGCCAAUCUCAGCCCUUAAACCGCAACGAAACGCAGAGCUCGACUCCCUUCCAUCCUCUCGCGGCGGCGCAGGCGUCUCUCUCCAUCCUUCUUCUCCUCCGGCGGCGGCAAGGUCAGAUUCUCUCCUCUCCCCUGAUCUCGAGACCGUUCUGUUCGAUCCCCACGACUGUUUUGUUUUCAAUUUUGCCUUCUCGCCGAUCCUAGGUUUUCUUCGUGUACAUCGUUAAGAACCGUAUUGGAUUGGAUCUGGUUCCUUGGUGCUGGUGUGUCAGAUUCGCCCGUUUUUGCCCAUCUCGAUGGGGGUUGUUUACGGCCUCGAUGGGCGAGGGAUUUGGGGUAAAUUUACGCGAUUUAGGGAGCGGGAUGGGGGAGGAAAAUACGUGUGAUUUAGGCGGGGAUUCGAUUUGGUUCGUGUGGAUGGAUGGCAGCGUCGUCACCAUGGUAUCCUUACCCAUGAGAGCGAUCUUUUUGCUGAACUUUUUUUCGUUGUUUAGACGUGUGAUCUGAGGUCUAUGUGAUUUGGAUUAGAGAAUGGAGGAAAGGAAGAUCGUUCGCUGCAAUAAAGAUGUGAAUAUGUAUCAGAGGGCUGUGACAUUGUUUGGGGGAAAUUAGGUGCUUUGUGAUGCUUUAUCUUCUGCAUGCUAUGCGCUACCACUUAGCAAAUUUCGCUGUUGCCAUCAUCUGUUUCGUGUAUGAACUUGACAUGUACCAUCCAUUACACCUUAGUUCUAGCAUCCCCGAACAUUUCUGGUUGUUGAUAUCCUAUUCAUCAUCCUACUGCCAGUUGUCUUGUUUCCCAGAUCUCUAGUCUUUGAAUUGCCAUGUGGAUUAGGUGCUGUGGCGUGACUAUGUUUUCUUGAUGAUUCUAAUUAUUUCAUAAUUUAGUGUGUUCCCAUAAUUUCUCUCCACAACAGUUAGGUCGCUACAAUUGUAUAUGUGACUUUGUUUAAUGUCCGUGUAACUCAGAUAAGAUUUGUUUAGCAUUAUUGUGAUUAUUGUAUAUCUGGAUCUGUUUUCGUUUGUGCAAUUGUUGAACUAUCAGCAAUAACAUUAUAGACUUCAUGUGUUUUCGUAGCGGAAAUAUCCUGACUGUAGUUAGUGUAUGCUAGCAAGGUACUAGCCAUUGUGGUGGGAUCAGUCCCCUAAUGAACGAAUCAGGCACAGACAUAUGAACGUCUUGGUAGGAUUCAGCUAUGUCAAUCACUUGAUUUAGCUUUGUAAAAGUAUAUGGUAGCUAGCUCCUUGUCCUUUUUGUAUUCCAAAACAGUGAAUUUUCUGUUUUGUUCAAGAUGGCUAUAGGGAUCAAAAUAAUCUGCGAUGCAAGCUUAUCAUAGAUCUCACCCAAGUAUGCUAUGUAUUUACCUUUCUAUUGGGAUUUCCUACAUGUUGGCAAGCAUUUGUUUGUUUUCUCUGAUCUGUUAAACUUGAGUAAACUUGCCUCUUGACCUUUGUUGUUUGAAGCUUGUCUAUAACUUCAAAAAUCUGCAUCACGUUGAAGAAAAUUACAUGAUAUAUGUAUGUUGCUUCUUUGUACAAGCCUGAUGCUAUUGUCAAUCUUAUUUUGAUUAAAUGGUUCUUAUGGGUAGUGCACAAUUUGAUGAUGAGUGAUAAGGAAAUUUCUCCAACUAAUUUGCUUUGCCUUAUUUGUGCUUGAGUGACUAUGAUGUCUCUGUCUUCUAUGCAUGAGUGGUAGGUUAGGUGAAGGGUACAUUGCAUGCAUUUUAUUUUUUGAAAGAAGCAAUGAUUGAUGCAGGAUGGAAUCAUUUGUUGUGCCACAUUUUUUCUUCUGUUGCAUCUUAAGAUAUCUUUAAAAAAAUCUUGGCCGGUGGAACAGGAAUACUAGGAGGCAAAUACAGGGACCCGACUCUUUUUGUAAUUAUUGUUUUCAAGAGAGGUUGCUCUGACCAAUUGAGGAAUCGGAACCUCUCUAGCAUAGUCUACUGUUUCUGAAUAUACAUGCUGGUUUUACAUAACUUGGUCAACUGUAAGUUGUUAAUUUAUAUUCUAGUUCUUUCAGUUUCACCUCAGUUACGUCUUGAAAUUUUGGUAUGACUUGUUUUUUUUUGUGCGAGUCACCCAAGUGACCUUUGAACGCUGUGAAAAAUCAUAGAUCAUGAACUAAUAUUUUAUGCUGUAUGCACAUGUCUGCAUUGUUAAAAGUAUCUUGUUGCCUUUGUGAAGAUAUGCUGUCCCCAUGUUCCCGUGAAAUCAGGUCACAGAAUCUUCUCAUUUCUGCAGGCAUUUUGGCAUCUGAGCUCAACAGCUAGCAAAUGGCAGGCGGUAGAGUUGCACAUGCUACCCUCAAGGGGCCGAGCGUGGUCAAGGAGAUCUUCAUUGGACUCACCCUUGGGCUGGUGGCCGGUGGUAUGUGGAAGAUGCAUCACUGGAAUGAGCAGAGGAAGACUCGAUCCUUCUACGACAUGCUUGAGAAGGGGCAGAUCAGCGUCGUUGUCGAGGAGUAGUUCUGACGAGCUGAACCUGGAGUUCUAUAUCUCAAGUCUUCCAUCGUUUUGUUUUUGCCCAGUUAUUUCUGAAACUCUCUGGAGAGCAUGACAAAGUGACUGCUGUGGAGAUUGUAAUGAAAAUAAGCACCACUAUUUGAGAACAUCAGAAUCUUUUUGAACUUGAUUUAUCCUUGUCUUUACAUCUCAAGUAUGUCUGUUUCAUAUCUGUUUGCAAAGGAAACAAAUUCUGGGAUUGGAUGGUUACCCCCUUGCAUCAAUAUAUGAUUUACAUUUCCUCACAUUCCUGUCAUCCUUUUGAGAGUGAGCUCAUCUUUUUUGAUUGAAUGCCAUGGUGGAUGCCUAACAAGCUACUUAUGUUUGAUAUUAUCAUGAAUGGAUCAAGCACCAUCAUUCUGACCUAUUACUGGUGCUUUUCUAUUUGGUGAUGUCAUUGGUUCGGUCAAGACUAAGUUUUUAAGGUUUUCAUGUGCCUUUCAGGCUUCACCGUCCUUUUCCUAUGUUGUCAUCAGUGUUUGCUUGCUUACACUAAUGCCAGUAACAAAUAAUGCUAGUUUAUGUGUUGCUGCUUCGUCGUGGCAGCAAUAAAUCUUGUCUUUUUGCCUGUAAAAAAUCAUCUUGCCAAUUGAUACAAACUUGUGAGCUGUGACCUACUAGUUUAUUUGGCCAGAAGAAAAAAAAAAGGAAUAUAUGCUAGAAAUUAAACGCACACAAGAGAUCUGUCAGACAGAAUCCAGAAGGAACCUUGGAAGUUGGAACUGAAGAUCUGACUCUGCUUUUAGCACUGGAUGUUUCUUUGCACUCAAGCUGUUUUGAUGCCUCUUUCACCUUUGAUUUCUGAAUUCAUAUAUUCCAACUUUUAGCACUUGAUGUCCCUGUAUUCUUCAUUCAAUGGUGUUGGAACCCACCGGAUUAUUUGAGGCUGUAACUUUUAGCACCUGUGAUGUCAAAUUAACAUCCAGAGCAGAGAUCAUCAUUAACUCUGCUGAAACACUAGAAUAUGAGACAAACAUGAAACUUGGACAUAUUUGAAUUUGGGACACAAGACACGAAAUUUAGAUUUAACACUGAGACGAACAUGGUAAUAUGACAUAGUUCAUCACAAUAUACAUAAACCACAACCAAACAUAUGAUGAAAACUUAGUACUACUGGUAUAACAGAGGGCCUGGACUAGGACGACGACAACAACAACAACAGUGAACAGACACUUAUUGGAACAUAAACAAACCAUAUAGAGCAGCAAACUGAUUAAGCCUUAUAAUAAUCAAGGCAGCCAAGUAGAG
rnacentral:lncRNA from 1 species